GAUGGUUGCCGAUAAAGGAGAGGUUGGACGUGACUAAGUUUACAGGUGAUGAUGUGUCUGUGCCGAUGACUAUGAUGAGGAGGUCGGCCGAUGACCAUGGCAAAAGAGUCUGCCGAUGAUACAGAGGGGGAGUCUGGAAGCUGCUGAUCGGGUUGUGGAAGAGUUUCAAUUUGUCACGAGGGAUAGCUGAGUUAUUUCCUUAUUUGUUUAAGUCGUUUUGUAUACGGAUUCCGUGUAAUUUGGAAUUCGAAUUCUGGUCGUGUUUAGUUAUAGCUCUUUGAGCAGGGUAUAAAUAUGGACCCUAGGGCUUUGUAAUGAGACAUCUAUCAAUCAAUCAAACACACGUUUUUACUCAUAUUCCAGCAUCUACUUUUCGACGACUUCGUCAUACUUUUUCCCUUUUAUUACGAGUUCUUAGGAAUUCGUCGACUUAAGCUCAGCGUGUUCUCAAGUUCCGCGUGAGUACCUCUUAGCCGUAACAUCCGGGCGCAUCGCUGUUGUCAGGACUAAAGUAUUCGAGUUAUCACCUUUGCCGAUUGUAAGGUCAAAUCGGCUGGCACGCCUUAACGUUUGAAUUGGGUAUUAGCCCUUUGUGUUUGCAGAUCAGUUUUGCAUCAACACAUCUUUUGGCACGCCCAGUGGGACCAGAUUCUAGAUCAAGAUCAACAUGUCGAUCUCUGACUUCGAUCAGGAGAACGUCAUCCCCGUGACGGAGGCCAAUCUCAAGGAUGAGCAGAAGGAAGCUAUUGCUCAAGCCGUGGAAGAAUUCAAGCUGCAAUGCCUGAGGUCUUUCAGCAUAAACAAGAGCGGCGAGGUGAUCCAGAAAGAUGCAUUACCGGCACCACGGCAGGUUACCUUCGAAGCCAAUCCUGGCAAGCUUCAAGAUAUGGUUGACAGUGCUAUUAACCGAGCUUUGAUCAACCAAGCUGGUGUAUUGUCUAAUACGGUUUUCAAUGCCGUGGCAAGAACUUUCAAGGAAGGACAAAUCCCACCAGAUUAUGUGGGCCCCUCUCAUCAUCAGCCAACGGCACCAGAGGUCACGGCUCCAUCGGCUGCUUUGACGGCUGCAAGCGCACAAUCUGUCGUCCCUCCAAGUACAUCGGGAGCUACUGGUGCACUAUCUGUGCCGAUGACAACUAACCCGCAGACUUCAGGUGGGCAGAAUAAGCUGACUACAGAUAUGUUGGCAUCGGCAAUGUCAGGGUUGACUCUUCCUCCUAACUGGUGGGGUUAUGGUAUGCCUCCAGAAUUGACGCCAGGUACAUCGCAGAUAACCGACAUGAGGGGCAAGACUCCUAUGACAUCGGCGCUUCCCAAUGCGCCGUUGAACCAGAGUCCCCGGUAUACAACAACUACUACUGCAAGGCCUCACACUGGGAAUCCUCAAGAUUCAAUGUUCCAGAUGCCUAAUGCAUCGGUAGAUUCAAUGCUGAUGCAACAGAGGUCUAUGGCCCAGUCAGGGUAUGUCAAUUCAAUGAUGGUACCCAAUUACCAAUCAUCGGCAGCGCCUAUGCCGAUGAACGCUAAUAAUGGAUGGCUUGGACAGCAAGUCUUUCCACAAUCGCCCCAACAAAGUUACCAGGCUACGGGGUUCCAGCAAGGACAGAUCUAUCCCGGAUUCCAAAGUCAGGGGAUCUCCAGCCAGCCAAUGAAUAUUGGACAGCAACUCGGGGGACAGCAAGUCGGUGGACAGCAGUUUGGUGGUCCGCAGAUUGGAGGACAGAUGAUCAAUCCGAUGCUCCGUGCAGAUCACGUCCCGAACAGACACGUGGAGGUUCGCCACCAAGUGCCGGACCCGCAGCCGCCUCAUCGGCAGGAUGCCGAUGCAUAUUGGGCCGAUAAAAUUGCUGAAGUAAUGAGGGAACAAUUUGGGAUAAAACCCAAAGUCAACACUUACUCUUAUCGGACACCGUAUCCUCCUGCAUAUGAUUUGAUCCCGCUUCCACAUCGGUACAAGGUACCGGAUUUUACCAAAUUUUCCGGGCAGGAUGACACGUCAACCAUGGAGCAUGUUAACAGGUUCAUCAUUCAAUGCGGAGAUGCUGGUAACAGAGACAAAUUGAGGGUUCGUCUAUUUUCAUCAUCAUUAUCUGGAUCGGCCUUUACUUGGUUCAUAUCAUUACCUCCCAACUCAGUGAUUACUUGGGCCGAUCUGGAGAAACAAUUCCACAAAUACUUCUUCUCCGGGGUUCAUGAGAAGAAGAUCACCGACUUGGUCAAGUUGAGACAGCGCAAUGAUGAAUGAGUUGAAGGUUUCGUGGAGAGGAUACGGGAAGUUAAGAAUAAAUGCUACAGUCUGGUUCUAGUUGAUCGGCAGCUAGCCGAUUUGGCUUUCCAGGGUUUAUUGCCACACAUCAGGGAUAAGUAUGCUUCUCAGGAGUUUGAAAGCUUAAGUCAUUUGGUGCAGAGGAUUUCUGAUCAAGACGUCAAGCCUUUCGAGCCCAAAAGAGCAUGGAACAAGAAAGUAUCAUUUGUUGAUGAAGCAACGAGCUCCGAUUCUGAUGAGGAACCAGUCAUCGGCUUGGCAGAGUGGGUCAAAAACAAGAAGCCGAUGUCUUGUCCUUUUGGGCAGAAAGAACCAGAGAAGUUCGCUUUCGCCACCGCUAAGGCCGAUAAGAUAUUUGAUUUUCUACUCCAGGAAGGUCAGAUCAAGCUGUCCCCUAAUCACGUGAUCCCAUCGGCUGAGGAGUUGAAGAGGAUGAGAUAUUGCAAGUGGCAUAAUGCAACUUCUCAUGACACUAAUGAAUGCAAAGUUUUUAGACAGCAGCUGCAAUCGGCAAUAGAGUCUGGGAGGAUUAAGUUUGACAGUUCCAAGACCCAGAAGCCGAUGAAGAUAGACCAACAUCCUUUCCCGACAAACAUGUUGGAUGCCAAGGGGAAGGCCAAGGUCUUAACAUCGGAAACAGCCGAGAAAAGUGCAUCGGUAGAUCCUCAGCAUCAAGUUACUACUGCCGAUGCAAAAAGUAAGGGCUUAGUCCAGGAAGGAACCAGUUCGGGUAGGCCCCCUCGGUCUGGUAUCGUUAUAACUCAUAGAAGACCUCGAGAGAACUGGCAGCAACGGGAAGAUCGGUAUCGGCGCCAGCAAGAAGAUUAUCGACGGGAGGAAGAAAGACGCCGACAGGAGUGGAAUCGGCAUAGAGAUCAUUGGAACUGCCCAUUUUUCAUCCAUUGUUGGGAGAAAAAUAUUAAGCUUCCUACUGUCAGAGACUGCCCUGAGUGCAAUGGUUAUGAUCGGUACGACAGGACUGAUCGGCGUUAUCAUGAUGACGAUCGGCGAUUUGAUGGGCCGAUCAGAGGAAGAGCAUCGGUUCAUGAUCGGCUGGGGGGUGGGCUUAGUGUACACGAUAGGCUUGGUGAUCGUGUCUAAUAUUUUCCCAGGAACCAGGAAGAGCUCGAGGAGAUGGCUAAUGCGCGAGUUCCCGAUGAGUUUAUAUUUUGCAGGGAUGCUAACACGUAUCGUAUGGAGUCAAGGGAGAACCGACGCCCGGCAGCAAGGCAAAAGCCACUCCCUCCAUGGUGUCCUGAAGGGUUGACCAAGACACAGAAAAGGAGAUUGCAGCGUGAAAGGCAAGAGGAGCUAAACAAGGGCGAAAAUUCUAGUCAGUCUGUAGAAAGGAGGUCCAUCGGCAGGAGUUAACAUGGUCUUUAUGUUACCGAUGGAGUUUCUUGCACCAUCCAGUGAUGAUGAGUUGGAAUUUUCCGAUCAGAUAGCUCAGCUGGCUCUGGAUCCGAUGACGGCUAUCUUUGAGAAACCUGCCGAUGACGAGAGACAGCAUCUCAAAGCUCUGUUCGUCAAAGGAAGGGUUGAUGGGCAGCCAAUGACCAAGAUCCUAGUUGAUGGUGGAGCUGCUAUUAAUAUUAUGCCAUAUGCAGUAUAUCGGAAGCUUGGGAAAGGGGAUCAGGACUUGACCAAGACUGGUAUGAUGCUCAAGGAUUUUGAAGGAAACGUGUCUCCAGUCAAAGGGGCAAUCUAUGUGGAGUUGACCAUCGGCAGCAAAACCUUGCCGACAACUUUCUUCAUAAUCAGUGGAAAGGGUGCUUAUAACUUAUUGUUGGGAAGAGAUUGGAUUCAUGCCAAUUGUUGCAUCCCGUCUACAAUGCACCAAUGCCUGGUUCAGUGGGUAGGCGACAAAAUUGAGAUUGUCCCAGGAGAUUCUUCUUAUGUUAUUGCAUCAGCAGAGGUGGAUACCUAUGAGAGGACUAGGUGCAUUUCAGGGGAAGUUUGGGAGAAGGAUUUUCUCAAAGUUGCCGAUUACGAGAUUCCACAGAUCCAAGCAGUCGGUUCUGACGACGGUUUUUAAUGGAUAGGUUCGCCGAUGAUGGAAAAUUAGGCCAGGGAUUCACAUCGGCCGAUGAUUUGGUAGAAGUAGAUAUAGGUAGUGGUGAUAAGCCUAGGCCUACUUUUAUUAGAGCUAAGUUAAAUCCUGAGUGUAAGCAGCUGUUGAUGCAAAACUGAUCUGCAAACACAAAGGGCUAAUACCCAAUUCAAACGUUAAGGCGUGCCAGCCGAUUUGACCUUGCUAUCGGCAAAGGUGAUAACUCGAAUACUUCAGUCCUGACAACAGCGAUGCGCCCGGAUGUCACGGCUAAGAGGUACUCACGCGGAACUCGAGAACACGCCGAGCUUAAGUCGACGAAUUCCUAAGAACUCGUAAUAAAAAGAAAAAAGUAUGACGAAGUCGUCGAAAAGUAGGUGCUGGAAUAUGAGUAAAAACGUGUGUUUGAUUGAUUUCUUGAUUGAUUAUUACAAGGUCCUAGGGAUAAACCCUGCUCAAAGAGCUACAACCAGACACAAUUAGAAUUCGAAUUCCAAAUUACACGGAAUCCGUAUACAAAAUGAUGCAAAUAAUUAAGGAAAUAAUAAAACUAUCCUUCGUGACAAACCGAAACUCCUCCACAUGACAACUGGCAGCUUCCGGACUCCUCCUUCGCAUCAUCGGCAAUCCCCUUGCCAUAGUCAUCGGCAGACCUUUUUAUCCAGCCAUCGGCACCAUAUCACUGCCUGUGGACUUAGUCACAUUCAACCUCUCCCUCAUCGGCAACCAUCCUCAUCAGCGACCCGCAUCGUACCGCCACCCUAUCCUGCCAUCCUAGACACGUGCCCAAAAAUGGUGUCAACACAUGCCCCCCAGUUUCGGAGUAUAAAACUAUUAAUGCUCCGAAAUUCUCUGUAGUAAUGAUGCCUUCUCCGCAAUUAAUGCUCCUAAUCUGGUAACCGACAACCUCAAUCUGGACAACUCUGAUCCUAAUCCUCCGCAGAUUCCUCGAAAUCCCCAACUUCCUAAACGGGCAUCUUUCUUGGUCGUACAUCGGCAACAAUACCGUUACAAAGAUCUGCCGAUGCUCUGACCAGGAUAUUCGCAAAAACGGUUACCUCCCCUCUAUCCGCCCAUCGGCAAGAUGACCGUUAUAGAAUAUCGUCGAUGGACCGACCAGGAGAUCUCGCACAGUAAAAUAUCUUCAGAUAAUGACCGCUUCCCGUCAAAUCACCUGCACAAUCCCUGGAUUACCGUGCGAACAGUUACCAUAUCCACCUGAGUACCCUCGGGCUUCUCGGAUGCGGCAAAGAGAUAAGUCGGAUUUGCCCUUGCCCAUCUUGUCCUAUAAAUAGUUCCUUCUUGGGUACUCCUCCCCCAUCACACCAUUCUACUAUCCAACUUUGCUUUUCCAGCGGCGGAGCCAUUUACAACCUUCAAGAUCUCCGACAAGCACUCCUCUUCAUCAACUCCGGUGCCCUCCAACGUCCUCUUCACGACAGGAUGGCCAUUGGCUUCGUCGUCCCUGAGGUUAGACUUCCAUCUCAUCUUCUGUGUAUAUUCCUAUUCAUCCGCGAUUCAUCUUACUGAAUAUUCCCCUUUUCCUUUUUCUUUGUAUUUUUAUUCCCCCAAAAUCACUAGGAGUUGUCCAAUAAAAUUGUCAUCCCCACCGAUCAACCACACCUUCAAUGUCUCGGUCCUCUAGGGGAUUCAGAUCCAACCAAUCUUAUCAACGCAGAAACCAAUAGAAUCCCCUUUAGGGCUGAAAACUUUUCUGUAGAUCUAUGGAAAGACACAUUUCGCUCUUGGCCCAGCCCUACCGUAGGGUGGAAAGACUGGUUCUUGAGGGUCAGCAAUUCUUAUGAAGUCCAGUGGGGUGAGAGGAAGCUAGCCCAAUGCAUUAGGCUAUCCAUUGCCGAUAUGCACAGGAACGAGUCACUGCUGAUAGCUGCAUCCUACUUUUGGUCAGACACUCUUAAUGCUUUUGUUUUUGGCCACGGCCCUGCUUCUCCUACCCUUGCCGAUGUAGCCAUGCUCACUGGGCUAGAUAUAUCUUCUGCCGAUAGCACCCACUUUUUUGAUACUGCCCCCAGUGCCAAAGUGGAGACUCGCGCUAUCGGCGGUUGGUCAGGGUACAUCCAGAAGUACCGCGGGAGAGGGCCUGUCACCAUAAAGGAGCAAACCACCUUUCUGAACAUGUGGCUGGACAAGUUUGUAUUCUGUGGCCGAUCGGCAGGACCGACUUCUGUCUAUCUAUCGGCAGCAGAAAGACUGGCUAACGGUGGCCAAUUUCCUCUCGGCCGAUAUUUGCUCAGCGCUGUUUACCACCUUCUUCAUCAGGUAGCCCAGAAACUCCUGCUUGGCCAAUCCAUCGGCAACUUGGGAGGCCCCUGGUGGUUUAUUAAUAUGUGGCUCAAUCUGCACCUGCAUAAGCGCCUUGAUUUCAACUUGUUUUCACAGCACUUCCCAAGAGAUAUAGCCGAAAAUCAUGUGUUGGGUGAAGAGGAAUCGGCAAUGCGUGCCCCCUUGAACUUUGGCGAAGCCGUUAUAGUCUUACCCGGUUCAGGGAACAAUCCGGAUCAGAUUGGCCGAUUCUUCGAGACUCUGUAUGAGGGUCUGGCCAGAGAUGAACGACCAUGGCUGGCUUAUGAUGACCCAGAUAGCAUGCUCCCUCUGACCUUCAAUCCAUUUGAUGAAGCUCUCGACAGGGACAAUGAGGCGAUGACGGCAAUUGUGACUCCCAGAGCUAUUCCAGUGAAUUUCUUCGGUAGCACGAAAACUUCUCCCCAGACUUACGAAUUUUGCAAUCCAUCGGCAUUAGCUCGCCAGUUAGCUUUCGGCCAGUUGCCGAUUGCACUUCCUUAUGCCGAUGUAAUAAAACCCAGAGAAACCAUCAACAACCUUCUUGAGUGGACUCGAGUAGCCCAACUACCACCAAACGCCGAUGUAGAUGUAGAUCUGUCAGAAUGGGUUCCGGCUGCUUUUAUCACUCAGGCAUACAAGUUAUGGUGGGCAGAAUGGAAAGAGCAUCUAUUCUGCAGAUCGGCACUUUCAUACCGCGGCAUGAUUGACCCCGAAUACGAAGUUCCCGAUGACACUGUAAGUAACUCAAACUAACGUUUCAUUUUCUCACUAUUACUUCUAUCGGCAGCUUACCCUUGUAUUCCUUUUGCAGGUUGACAAUAUUCCUCCAUUGGUUAGCAGGAGUGGCAAGCCGAUUGACUUGUUUCCAUCAGGCCCGAUUUCCUCAAUCGGCCACAAUGCUCCCACUCUGGCUUCCAUCGUGCAUCGGGGUGCGCGCCUCAGGAAAGUUACUACCAGGAGAACCCAGACAUCACCAACGGUAGCUGCUCCUACUCUGGCGCGGGCUUUCAAGGCAAUUUGUCAAAUCUUUAUCUUUUACGCUGACUAUCUUUAUAUCGGCUUUAUUUAUACUUACAAACCCUUGUUCGUUAUUGCAGCAAACCAGUGCAUCGGCAAAGGUCACACUUCAAGGUGCCGAUGCCACCCAGUCCAGCCAGCCAAAGAGGAAGGGUGUCAAGAGCACCAGGGCCGAAACGAAACGCCAAAAAGUGGCAGCUCCCCCUCCUCCUCCGGUAUCUCCAAUCCAAGUAGAGUCUUCUCCUUCUUCUCCAGAAGUCCAGACACAGCAAGUGCCAUCUCCCCAACCAAUGCAGGAUGCACCACAGAUGGAAGAAUCCCAGCAGGAAGAGCCUCAAACAGAAAGUACAUCAGUCGAUGUGGGUGAACAAGCAACUGGUCCGGUGGAUCCAAUUAUAUCACCGGCGGCUCUCCCGAUUCAGACAACCGUUGUUCCCCCUCCAGGUAACAUACUUUAACAAUAUCGUUGCCGAUGAACUCAUUCUCAUUUAGUCUCAUAACCUUUCUUGUCUUCUUUCAAUCGAUAUCGUCCCAUCGGCAACCUUAGCCGAUCAACCUGCAGUUCCAUCGGCAUCUUUGGCCGGUCAGUCCGCAGCUCCGUCAGCACCUCCCAGUCCAAGGCAAGAGAUCGCCUUGAAGCAAGUAAGUCACUGUUUACCGCCAGCACCAUUUGCCGAUUCUCCGAAUAUGAGCUAACCUUGCUUUCCCUCCCAGGAACAAGAUUCUCCUGAUAGCCUGUUUUCCUUCGCCAUCGAUCUCUCUGAAGAAGAAGACGAAGAAGCAAGUUCUUCCCAGACAGUUGGCAUUACAUCGGCAGAGACCAGGGCCAGGCUGGAAGAAUUGUCAGUUCUCCUUCACCAGGAUACAACGCAUUUGGUCGAAGACUCCGACCCUACCAAGACCCUGUUCAGAACUCUCAGAGGCCAAAUCCCAGCCGACGUCGAAGAAAUCCUGUUCCAAGCCGCUCAUCUGGAGAGUCACCAGCUACAGUACCAGAGAGCUUCUCGGCGUCUUGCCGAUAGAGCCGCUCAAACUCAACUCUCCGAUGAAAUGAGGAAAGAGAAACUCCUGACCGAUGAGAAGCACAAGAACAUCGGUAUCCUGAAAUCUUCAGGAGAUGCGCUGAAGCAGAAGAUAUCCGAUCUAUCGGCAAGAAGAGAAUCCCUGUUGGCGGAACUCAAGGAAGUGGAGAAUGCCUUAUCCCAAGCCCAACAGGAAGAGAACCAAUUGCCAGAGACCAUCAGGCUUCUUGAGCACGAGCGAAAUGUUCAUGGUCGCAAGGCACUCCAACUGAAGAAGAAGCUAAAGCCGAUAGAAGGUUCUGCCGAUGAUGACAUCAAGGAGCUAGAAGCUGUUGACACCAUUUUUGGGCACGUGUCUAGGAUGGCAGGAUAGGGUGGCAGUACGAUGCGGGUUGCUGAUGAGGAAGGUUGCCGAUGAGGGAGAAGUUGAAUGUGACUAAGUCCACAGGCAGUAAUAUGGUGCCGAUGGCUGGAUAAAAAGGUCUGCCGAUGACUAUGGCAAGGGGAUUGCCGAUGAUGCGAAGGAGGAGUCCGGAAGCUGCCAGUUGUCAUAUGGAGGAGUUUCGGUUUGUCACGAAGGAUAGUUUUAUUAUUUCCUUAAUUAUUUGCAUCGGUUUGUAUACGGAUUCCGUGUAAUUUGGAAUUCGAAUUCUAAUCGUGUCUGGUUGUAGCUCUUUGAGCAGGGUAUAAAUAUAAACCCUAGGACCUUGUAAUAAUCAAUCAAGAAAUCAAUCAAACACACGUUUUUACUCAUAUUCCAGCAUCUACUUUUCGACGACUUCGUCAUACUUUUUUCUUUUUAUUACGAGUUCUUAGGAAUUCGUCGACUUAAGCUCGGCGUGUUCUCGAGUUCCGCGUGAGUACCUCUUAGCCGUGACAUCCGGGCGCAUCGCUGUUGUCAGGACUAAAGUAUUCGAGUUAUCACCUUUGCCGAUAGCAAGGUCAAAUCGGCUGGCACGCCUUAACGUUUGAAUCGGGUAUUAGACCUUUGUGUUUGCAGAUCAGUUUUGCAUCAACACAUCUUUUGGCACGCCCAGUGGGACAGAUUCAAGAUCAAGAUGUCGAUCUCUGACCUCGAUCAAGAGAACGUCAUCCCCAUGACAGAGGCCAAUCUCAAGGAUGAGCAAAAGCAAGCUAUUGCCCAAGCCAUGGAAGAGUUCAAGCAGCAAUGCCUGAGGUCUUUCAGCAUAAACAGGAGCGGCGAAGUGGUCCAGAAAGAUGCACUGCCGGCACCACGGCAGGUCACCUUUGACGCCAAUCCUGGCAAGCUUCAAGAUAUGGUUGACAAUGCCAUCAAUCGAGCGUUGAUUAACCAAGCUGGUGUACUGUCUAAUACGGUUUUCAACGCCGUGGCAAGAACUUUCAAGGAAGGACAAAUCCCGCCGGAUUAUGUGGGGCCCUCCCAUCAUCAGCCAACGGCACCAGAGGUCACGGCUCCAUCGGCUGCCUUGACGAAUGCAAGUGCACAGUCUGCCGUCCCUCCAAGUACAUUGGGGACUACUGGUGCACUAUCUAUGCCGAUGGCAACCAACCCACAAAUUUCAGUUGGGCAGCAUAAACUGACAACAGAUAUGUUGGCAUCGGCAAUGUCAGGGUUAACUCUUCCUCCCAACUGGUGGGGUUAUGGUAUGCCUCCAGAGUUGACGCUGGGAACAUCACAAAUAACUGACAUGAGGGGCAAAACUCGUAUGACAUCGGCACCUCCCAAUGCGCCAGUGAACCAGAGUCCUCGGUAUACCACAACUACUACUGCAAGGCCUCACACUGGGAAUCCUCAAGAUUCAAUGUUUCAGAUGCCCAACGCAUCGGCAGAGUCAAUGCUGAUGCAACAGAGGCCUAUGGCCCAGUCGGGGUAUGUCAAUUCAACGACGGUACCCAAUUACCAAUCAUCGGCAGCACCUAUGCCGAUGAACGCUAAUAAUGGAUGGCUUGGACAGCAAGCCUUUCCACAAUCGCCCCAGCAGGGUUAUCAGACUACAGGGUUCCAGCAAGGGCAGGUCUAUACCGGGUUCCAAGGUUAGGGGAUUCCCAACCAGCCAAUAAAUUUUGGACAGCAACUCGGAGGACAGCCAAUCGGUGGACAGCAGUUUGGUAGUCCGCAGAUUGGAGGACAGGUGACCAAUACAAUAUUCCAUGCAGGUCACGUCCCGAACAGACACGUGGAGGUUCGCCACCAGGUACCAGAUCCGCAGCCGCCUCAUCGGCAAGAUGCCGAUGCGUAUUGGGCCGAUAAGAUUGCUGAAGUAAUGAGGGAACAAUUUGGGAUAAAACCCAAAGUCAACACUUAUUCUUAUCGGACACCGUAUCCUCCAGCGUAUGAUUUGAUCCCGCUUCCACAUCGGUACAAGGUACCGGAUUUUAUAAAGUUUUCCGGAUAGGACGACACGUCAACCAUGGAGCAUGUCAACAGGUUCAUUAUUCAAUGUGGAGAGGCUGGUAACAGGGACGAAUUGAGGGUUCGUCUAUUUUCAUCAUCAUUGUCUGGAUCGGCCUUUACUUGGUUCAUAUCAUUACCUCCCAACUCAGUAAUUACUUGGGCCGAUCUAGAGAAGCAAUUCCACAAAUACUUCUUCUCGGGGGUUCAUGAGAAGAAGAUCACCGACUUGGUCAAGUUGAGGCAACGUAAUGAUGAGUCGGUUGAGGGAUUUGUGCAGAGGAUACGAGAGGUCAAGAAUAAAUGCUAUAGCCUGGUCCUGGAUGAUCGGCAGCUAGCCGAUUUGGCGUUCCAGGGUUUGUUGCCACAUAUCAGGGAUAAGUAUGCCUCUCAGGAGUUCGAAAGUUUAAGUCAUUUGGUGCAGAGGAUAUCUGAUCAAGACAUCAAGCCUUUCGAGCCUAAGAGGGCAUGGAAUAAGAAAGUGUCAUUUGUUGAUGAAGCAACAAGCUCAGAUUCCGAUGAGGAACCAGUAAUCGGUUUGGCAGAGUGGGUAAAAAACAAGAAGCCGAUGUCUUGUCCUUUUGGGCAGAAGGAACCAGAGAAGUUUGCCUUUGACACCGCCAAGGCCGAUAAGAUAUUUGACUUUCUACUUCAGGAAGGUCAAAUCAAACUGUCACCUAACCAUGUGAUCCCAUCGGCAGAAGAGUUGAAGAGGAUGAGAUAUUGCAAGUGGCAUAAUGCAACUUCACAUGACACCAACGAGUGCAAAGUAUUCAGACAGCAGCUGCAAUCGGCUAUAGAGUCCGGGAGAAUCAAGUUUGACAGUUCCAAAGCCCAGAAGCCGAUGAAGAUAGACCAACAUCCUUUCCCGACAAACAUGUUGGAUGCUAAGGGGAAGGCUAAGGUCUUAACGUCGGAGACAGCUGAGAAGAGUGCAUCGGUAGAUCCUCAGCAUCAAGUUACUACUGCCGAUGCAAGAAGUAAGGGCUUGGUCCAGGAAGGAACUAGCUCAGGAAGGCUUCCUCGAUCUGGCAUCGUCAUAACUCAUAGGAGGCCUCGAGAAAAAUGGCAACAACGGGAAGAUCGGUAUCGACGCCAGCAGGAAGAUUAUCAACGGGAAGAAGAAAGACGCCGACAGGAGUGGAAUCGGCACAGGGAUCAUUGGAAUUGCCCAUUCUUCAUCCAUUGUUGGGAGGAAAAUAUCAAGCUUCCUACUGUCAGAGACUGCCCUGAAUGCAACGGUUAUGAUCGGUACGAUAGGAACGAUCGGCGUUAUCAUGAUGAUGAACGGCGAGCUAAUGGGCCGAUCAGAGGAAGGGUGUCAGUUCAUGAUCGGCUGGGGGGCAGAUUUAGUGGGCACAACAGACUUAGUGACCGUGUCCAGUAUUUUCCCAGGAACCAAGAGGAGCUCGAAGGAAUGGCUGAUGCGCGGGUUCCCGAUGAAUUCAUAUUUUGCAGGGAUGCUAACACGCAUCGCAUGGAGUCAAGGGAGAACCGACGCCCGACAGCAAGGCAAAGGCCACUUCCUCCAUGGUGCCCUCGAGGAUUAACCAAGACACAGAAAAGGAGAUUGCAACGAGAAAGGCAAGAGGAGCUAAACAAGGGAGAGAACUCUGGAAGUCGGCAGCCGUCAGACACUAAGAGGGAAGGUCCAUCGGCAGGCGUCAACAUGGUCUUCAUGUUGCCGAUGGAGUUUCUUGCACCAGCCAGUGACGAUGAGUUGGAAUUUUCUGAUCAGAUAGCUCAGUUGGCUCUGGAUCCGAUGACGGCUAUCUUUGAGAAACCUGCCGAUAACGAGAGGCAGCAUCUUAAAGCUUUGUUCCUCAAAGGAAGGGUUGAUGGGCAGCCAAUGACCAAGAUCCUAGUUGAUGGUGGAGCUGCUAUUAAUAUUAUGCCGUAUGCAGUAUAUCGGAAGCUUGGGAAAGGGGAUCAAGAUUUGACCAAGACCGAUAUGAUGCUCAAAGACUUUGAAGGAAACGUGUCUCCAGUCAAGGGGGCGAUAUGUGCAGAGUUGACCAUCGGCAGCAAAACCUUGCCGACAAUUUUUUUCGUGAUCAGCAGAAAAGGUGCCUACAAUUUAUUAUUGGGGAGAGAUUGGAUUCAUGCCAAUUGUUGUGUCCCAUCUACAAUGCAUCAGUGCUUGGUUCAGUGGGUAGGUGACAAGAUUGAGAUCGUCCCAGGAGAUUCUUCUUAUGUUAUCGCAUCGGCAGAAGCGGAUACUUACGAAAGGACCAGGUGCAUUUCAGGAGAAGUUUGGGAGAAAGAUUUUCUCAAAGUUGCCGAUUAUGAGAUUCCACCGAUCCAAGCAGUCGGUUCUGACGACGGUUUUUAAUGGAUAGAUUCGCCGAUGAUGGAAAAUUAGGCCAGGGAUUCACAUCGGCCGAUGAUUUGGUAGAAGUAGAUAUAGGUAGUGGUGAUAAGCCUAGACCUACUUUUAUUAGUGCUAAAUUAGAUCCUGAGUGUAAGCGACAAUUGAUUAGUUUGUUAAAGGAAUAUAAAGAUUGCUUUGCUUGGGAUUAUACAGAGAUGCCUGGUUUAGACCGAUCAAUUGUCGAACAUCGGUUACCCAUCAAGUCUGGAUUUUGGCCACAUCAGCAACCAGCCCGCCGAUGUAAUCCUAACAUUCUACCUGAUAUUAAGGCCGAAAUCACUAAACUUAUUGAAGCUAAGUUUAUUUGGCAGUGUCGGUAUGCCGAAUGGAUUUCCAAUGUUGUUCCGGUUUACAAGAAGAACGGGAAGCUUCGGGUGUGCAUUGAUUUCAGGAAUCUCAAUAAAGCUACGCCGAUGGAUGGAUACCCAAUGCCUGUCGCCGAUCUACUGGUUGAUGCUGCGGCUGGCCAUCGGGUCAUCAGCUUCAUGGACGGUAAUGCAGGUUACAAUCAAAUAUUCAUGGCAGAGGAGGAUAUUCCAAAAACCGCAUUCAGGUGUCCUGGUCAUGUUGGACUAUUUGAAUGGAUAGUCAUGACUUUUGGGUUAAAGAACGCUGGUGCUACUUAUCAAAGGGCUAUGAAUUUUAUAUUUCAUGAGUUCAUCGGCAAGCUCGUAGAGAUUUAUAUUGAUGAUGUGGUGGUUAAGUCUGGAGAUUUCUCAAAGCAUCUUGCCGAUUUACGAAAAGUGUUGGAGUGCACAAGGAAGCAUGGAUUGAAGAUGAAUCCCAACAAGUGUGCAUUUGGCGUAUCGGCAGGGCAGUUUCUUGGCUUCAUGGUACAUCAGAGGGGUAUUGAAAUUAGUCGAAGAUCUAUUGAUGCCAUCAAUAAAAUAGUGGCCCCUACCAAUAAAACCGAGCUCCAAUCCUUGAUCGGCAAGGUGAAUUUUAUCAGAAGAUUUAUAUCGAAUUUAUCUGGGAGGAUUCGUGCUUUCAGUCCUCUUCUUAAAUUGAAAGCCGAUCAAGAGUUUGUUUGGGGAGAAGAACAGCAGUUGGCUCUGGAUGAAAUCAAGAAGUAUCUAGUAAAUCCUCCAGUUUUAGUUCCACCUCAACAAGGGAAGCCCUUCAAAUUGUAUUUAUCUACCGAUGGAUCGGUUAUCGGUUCAGCUUUAGUUCAAGAAUUUGAAGGGAAAGAGAGAGUAAUUUAUUAUUUGAGUAGGAGGUUGAUUGAUGCUGAAACUAGGUAUUCGGCCAUUGAGAAACUGUGCUUAUGCUUAUAUUUUUCAUGUAUCAAGCUGAGACAUUACCUGUUAUCGGCCGAAUGUGCUGUUGUUUGCAAAGAUGACGUGGUCCGAUACAUGCUAUCUAUGCCGAUUAUGAGUGGUAGGAUCGGUAAAUGGAUUUUAGCGCUGUCGGAGUUCGAUUUGCGUUACGAAUCGGCUAAGGCAGUCAAAGGGCAGAUUAUGGCCGAUUUUGUGACUCAGCAUUGCGGUCUAGUGGAAACCUUGGAAAUUGCACCCUGGACGCUCUUCUUUGAUGGAUCUACCUGUGACCGGGGGGCAGGAAUCGGUAUUGUAUUAGUUUCUCCUAAGGGGAGGAAGUAUGAGUUUUCCUUGCCGAUUGUUGCUACAUCAACAAAUAAUCAGGCUGAGUAUCAAGCUCUGAUCAAGGGAUUGGAGUUGUUAAGAGAAGUUCGUGCUGAUGCUGUUGAAAUAUUCGGGGAUUCUAUGUUGGUUAUAAAUCAAUUGGCCAGAAGCUAUGAAUGCCGAAGUGAAGUUCUCAUAACCUAUUUCGAGAGAAGUAUGCAACUGUUAAAGGAAUUCAAGGACUUCCGAUUGGAGCAUGUUCCCCGAUUGUAUAAUGAAGACGCUAAUCGGUUAGCUCAGCAUGCCUCGGGAUAUCAGCCAAUGAUUAAUGCGACAUCGGCAGUCGGUGCCGGUGAUUGGAGGAAAGAAAUUGUUGAUUAUCUAAAAGAUCCAUCCAAAAAAGUUGAAAGACGGGUUCGAUUUCAGGCAACCAAGUAUGUGCUCCUUGAAAAUGAAUUGUAUUAUCGAACUGUCGACGGAAUUCUUCUCCGAUGCCUGGGUGAUGAUGAAGCCAGAAGUUUGAUGGGGGAAAUCCAUGAAGGAGUGUGUGGAGCGCAUCAGUCAGCUUUUAAGAUGAAGUGGAUGAUUCGAAGGAAUGGAUAUUUUUGGCCAACCAUACUUGAAGAUUGUUUUAGAUAUUUCAAGGGAUGUCAAGGUUUUCAAAAGUUCGGUAAUAUCCAGAGAGCACCCGCAUCGGCUAUGAAUCCUAUAAUAAAACCUUGGCCGUUCCGGGGAUGGGCCAUCGAUCUGAUCGGCCAGAUUUAUCCACCAUCUAGCAAAGGGCAUAAGUUCAUUCUAGUUGCCACUGACUAUUUCACUAAGUGGGUCGAAGCUAUUCCUUUGAAGAAAGUCACAUCGGCCAAUAUGAUUGAUUUUGUGAAGGAGCAUAUUAUUUACCGAUUUGGGAUUCCCCAAACGAUUACUACCGAUCAGGGCACCAUGUUCACGUCGGGGGAGUUCGAUGAAUUCGCAAUCGGUAUGGGAAUUAAAGUGUUGAAUUCUUCUCCUUACUAUGUGUGGCAGAACCCCCUAAGUGUUUGGGCCCACCGGCACCUGUCAUUGUCCUAAGGACCUCUGACGGUGAUGCCGGGAGUCCUCCCACUUUAGAAGUCCGAUGAGCACCGCUGGGCGCUCAUUCCACUGCUACCUGUGGCGUACCAAGCUGGCUCGUCCUGACCACUGGUGAUGGUCAAACAACGAGAACUGUUUCUUCUCGCCCUUACAGGAUAGCAAGUGGCCACCUUAACACCAGGAUCAUUCGUUGCGAAGAUAAAGCAAUAACUCAGCGACACAAGACCAAAAUAAUAUUUCAGAGUGAAACAGCGGAAGUAUUACAUAACUUAAUUUACAAAAGGAGUUCUUCCAAAUAGUAGAGUGUUAUUACAAGCCUGGUCCAGCGGAGCAACUUAAACUUUAAGACAGAGAGUACAAAUUUACCGACCCUGCCCAUGGGUCACGCUCAUUCUUCUUCGUCGUCAACCUCGACGACGGUCACACAACAGGGUCCGAAGCAAGUCGGCUCAUGUGCUUCACCUGCAACCGGGGUAUUGAAACCCUGAGUACGGGAGUACUCAACAAGACUUACCCGAUGGGAAAAGAGGAGAACUUAGGGAUGCAGGCUUAGGGUAGACAAGGGGUGGCUGAGCAAGGAGCCAAAGUGUUUUGCGUAAAAAGCUUACUAGUAGUGCAUCCUUAUUUUCAAGUUUUACCCACGAAUUCCUCCCUCACAGAGGCCGAGGAGUUCGAGGAGAGUCUAACUGGUUGUUCCCCCCACAGACGGAUCCGUGAGUUCCUAGUCCUAUCACAAAGUAUUAUUUAUCGAUGGCCAUAGCUUCAUGUCGCUAUGAGUCCGGGAAUUGGGAUCCGAACCUCAUGGGACAUUUUCCCCUUUUCUCAUUUUAUCACUUAGUUGCAUAUUUAUCUACGAUGAGGGUCGAAGGAAUUGAGUCUCCCAAUCGGGGAGCAACGACGAUUCGAAUCGCUUAGCAAUCCAGCUGGAGUUCCUAACCACUCGACAUAUGUAGAACUAAAUCUUGCAUAUGUCGAUCCAAAUCAAGCUCUCCCCAAAUCUGACCAGGUUCGCGGCACCCGAGAGCACAGUACCCCACCAUCCUACAGCCGAUCUAGAUGUUUUCCGGUCAUCUCAGAUCCGUAAGGUGGGCACACGCUACUCUCGCCAUCUUUCCACUCCCAGUGCGCGAGUAGCUGUUCGCGUCGAGGGAUCACAAGACCGGGCUUACCGAGGGCAAGCGGUUAGUACUAUAAAUUCUCAACCCAGCAGGCCAUCAACGGAACGGUCCUUAAUCGACACAGUCGGAGACACUACUUUAAGACUCCAUUCUUAGAGCAAGUCCACCGACCGGUCUCAAGUUGAAACAUCAUUGAUCAUAAGUGUAUCCCACAACAACCCUUCAAACUUUCUUGUUUUAAAAAAAAACUUAUCUAGUAGCAGGGCUAAGCAUCGCUACGCAGUUUUAAAAUAAACAGGUGUCAAGGACAGGAUAACAGAUAUCAAGGUAGUAAAUGCAGCAAGUAGGUUAACCCAAUUCUUAACUACAUAAUGCAGCAUUUUCAAUUUACAAGUGAUAAAAGAUUUAAAACAUUCAAGGAGGGGUUAAUGCAUCCGGGGCUUGCCUUGGUUGCAGGGCAGAGAGGGACCCUCGGAGACUUCCCAAGUCUCGGAUCCGACUUCCUCGAACGGAGCACCGACCUCGGGGUUCGGUUCAACGGGCGCUCCUUCGGUCACGGACACUAUACGCAAAAUGAUGAAUGCUCAUGAUAGGUGUAUGACAAUUAUGCAAGAAGGACCGAAUCGAGUACAACUCGCCUUCUUGAUGCAAUACAGAAUUAUCACUAAAUAAAGUUGCUUAAUAACUUAAUGUUUUUACCCAAAAGGUUGCAUCUGUAAACUAAAACUUUAUUUAAUUCAUAUUUAUUUUAAAUUAGUAAUUAUUAAUCCUAAUUACCUUAAUUAAUUCUUAAUUAACUAUUAAUGACAGUAAUUAAGCAUUAAGGCUAAAUAAUAAUAAAAUGUCAAAGGUCAUUAGGGUUAACGACCUCAGGUUAUCACAUAAUCCCAAAAUCACUCAACCCUAAUUAUGAGGAUCUAAACAAUCACUAUUUAAUUAUUUUGGAAUUAUUAUUUAAGUGCUAAAUAAGGAUUUAUUAAUGUUUUAAUCAAAUAUUAUCCAAAUGCCACCAAAUUUUGUGUGGAGCCAGGGAAUACCACUCAGAGGCUCUCCACAAUUUUUGGUGAUUUUUGGACCUCCUAAUAAAUUACUAAAAUUCCUAGAAGUUUUAUUCACUAAUUAAAGAGCCAAUUUUUUAUAGACAUGCAAACUAUCAGAGAAAUAAAUUCUAAUAUUUUUCCUAGGCUCUAUACAUUUUCUGGAACCUACCCAAAAAGUUUCACUAUUUUUGGACCACUACACAAUUCAAUAUUUAAAUUCAAAUAUCAAAUAUUUUUAAACAAAAAGGAAAAAGAAAAGUGCACUGUGCAGUGCUGGCGGCCUGCUCGGACCCGGCCCAAGACGGCCCGCGAGCUCUCCCGCGCUCAGCGCCCUCUCCCUCUCUCUCUCACGCGGUCGCUGACGGGCGGGUCCCGCCCGUCAGCUCCGUCUCCUUCCUAGCGCCGCGGCUCCGGCGAGCUCCAGUGAGCCGUCGGCGAGCUCUCGGCCUCCGCGGUGAGACGCGUUAGCUUCCUCGACCUCCCGCGCACCCAGGGGCACCCUUUUCUCCCACUCUCCUCUAUCCUAACCCCUGUGACCACGGGCACGGCGGACGGCCGUCUCGGCCGAGCAAACGUCGGCCACUACGAGCGAGUAGAGCGUGACUUGAGCAGCGCAAAAGCACCAGGGGCUCACCACGACCUCAACCGAGCAAGAAGCGGCAGCGGAGAGGCUCUGGUUGACGCUGGCCACGAUGACGUGCUUGCGGUGGCGCUCGGCCGGAGUUGAGAAGGGAAACGGCUCGGGUGGGAGCUACGGUAGGAUAGAGCGUGCGUUUAGGGGCGCAAACGGUGGCGGGGCUCAAGGCGGAGCUGCUGGGGUGCUCAAAUGGCUUGGAAUGGCAACGGGUGAGGCGAAUUUGGUCGGCGCAGGAAACUCGUCGGCGUCGGGGUUCAAGAAAAGAAAGAGGGGACUCCGGCCACUCGGGGCUUUAUCCCCACGAUAGAAGGCGGUUCGCGGAUGAGGACGUCCACGCGAAGCACAGCAGCAAGCAGCUGCGUGGCCAGCUGCGUGGCGUCGCGCGCGGAGGCGGCUCUGCCCCGGCGGCAGAGCACCCCCCCCUGCCGAUCACUGUAGCAGUGCAUAUCCACUCAGUUUGGGGUUUUGCAAAUUUCGACUGAAAUUUGAACUGGAGUCAAAUUUGUGUCAAAACAAAAGUUGUUCCAAAUUUUAUAAGCUACACAACAUAUUUCGGUGACCAGAACUGAUUUUGAGUGUAACAGGGUGAAUUUGGCCAAAACAGUUUGGAAAUCAAAAUUCAAUUUGAGAGGAUUCAAAUUUUUGCAUUGGGGCAGAUUAGAAUUUCCAAAAUUACUUUUGUUUUUCCUAAACAACUUGAAAAACUCCCAACAUGAAAGUUGCUCAACUUUUUGUGCUCUACAACUUUCGUGCUGACCACUUUUUAAAAUUCCCAAUGGAUUUUGAAUUGGAGGUUUAAUUUGGAAAAGGGGACACUUUUCGGAAAUCUGUAUUUUCAAAAUUACUUUGAAUUUUGUAUUGAAACUUCAAAAACUCAAAACACCAAAGUUGUACAUCUUGCCAAGAGCUACAACUUUUCUUUUGAACUCAACCUCAAAUUUUGCUUAGUUUUUGACUUAUGCAAAAGGGGCAAAUCUAGGAUCCAGAAAUCAGGGUUUUUCCCCCCUUAGCUUUUCGGAAAAUUUCCACCCUAGGGUUUAGCAACCACUCAAGCAUCAACACACCACAUAAGCACACUCUACCUCCCUAAGCUCAAGCAAUCAAAGUGAACUGGUUUUAAGUUGAUGCAUACUAAUACGCUUAACAAAUAUGAUUUGCAAUGCUCAUGAUGACAUGAUCCGUUUUUAGUAACCGUAACAUCGGGGAUGUUACAGCCCUCCCUCCUUAAAGAAAUCUCGCCCCCGAGAUUUAAAACCCUUAGGGUAAGUAAUGGAAAAGGAAAUUUGUCAAAACUCUUUCAUCUUCAACUUUCCCAUAAGGCAAGAGGUUGGGGAAAACACUCCAUUAUAAGCAUAUAUGUACAUUAAGUACAUGGCUCUGGCGACUCUUUUCCUUCACUAGAGUACACUCUUUAUUUAUCAUAUGUUCUCCUGAAGAGAAGCGUGGAAUUCAGGGAAAUUCUCUAGCAAGUAAUCUUUAGAUUCCCAGGUGGCUUCCUCUUCAGAGUGCUGGCUCCACUGUACCUUGUACCAUUUGGUGGUUGUUCUUCGAGUAACUCUAUCUUUCUGAUCCAGUACUCGGAUAGGAUACUCCGAAUAAGUUAGAUCUGGUUCAAGCUCUACAUCUUCAAUAUCUUGAACUCGGUCUGGUACCCGAAGACACUUUUUCAGUUGAGACACAUGGAACACAUUAUGCACCCCGGAUAAUCGUUCGGGCAGUUGAAGGCAGUAAGCGACCUGUCCACAUCGGUCAAUGAUUGGAAAUGGACCAAUGUAACGAGGCGCUAACUUGCCUUUAACACCAAAACGAUUUACUCCUUUCAUUGGGGAUACUUUCAAAUACACAUGAUCACCUUUGACGAACUUUAAGGGUCGACGUCUUUUAUCAGCAUAACUUUUCUGUCGAGACUGAGCAACUUUCAAGUUAUUUUGGAUUUGUUUCACUUUGUUCUCAGUCUCUUUCACUAGGUCAACCCCGAAGAACCAUCUUUCUCCAGGUUCCGACCAGUGUAAUGGAGUUCGACAUCGGCGACCAUACAGUGCCUCAAAGGGAGCCAUUUUGAUACUCUCUUGGUAGCUAUUAUUGUAAGAAAAUUCUGAUAGAGGCAAGCAGUCAUCCCACUUAUCUGGAAAAUUCAAGGCACAAGAUCUUAAUAGAUCUUCUAGGGUUUGAUUCACCCUUUCAGUUUGCCCACCGGUUUGAGGGUGGUAGGCUGUGCUGUAUAAAAGUUUAGUGCCCAGGGACUCGUGUAAACAUUUCCAGAAUUGGGAGACAAAUUGUGUGCCUCUAUCUGACACUAUUGUCUUUGGUACCCCAUGCAGACUUAGGAUACGGUCAAAAUAAAUCUUAGCAUAGGUGGAGGCAGGAUACAAUAGCUUUACAGGCAGAAAAUGUGCUGUUUUGGUGAGACGAUCUACUAUGACCCAAAUUGAAUCAAAGCCCUUGGCCGUCUUGGGCAAUCCUACUAUGAAAUCCAUACUUAUGUCAUCCCAUUUCCAUGCGGGGAUAGGCAAAGGUUGCAACUCCCCAGCGGACUUGAGAUGAAUGGCUUUGACCUUUCGACAGGUGUCACAUUGGGCCACAUAGCGAGCUAUCUCUAUCUUCAUUUUUGUCCACCAAAACCUUUGCCUUAGGUCCUGAUACAUCUUAUUGCUUCCCGGAUGAAUAGAAUACCUCGUGGUAUGAGCUUCAUCUAGGAUUUGUUGACGUAGCUCAGGUACCUUUGGAACCACUAACCGGUUCUUGAACCAAAUUACUCCUGCAUCAUCCACCUUAAAGUCUGUGGGUGGUCUAUUAGAAAUCUUCUCUUUAAGAUGUUUCAUGCCUUUGUUUUCUUUUUGUGCCCUUAUGAUUUGAGCUUCGAGAUUGAAGUCGAUCUUUAAAUUGGCAAGGCUUCCUUGGGAAAUCAUUUCUAUUCCCAAGUUCUCUAGCUCUUGGCACAAAGUUAUAUCCCUAGGUGUCACUGUUAAGCAAUUACAGUGAGCCUUACGACUGAGGGUAUCUGCUACUACAUUUGCCUUUCCCGGGUGAUAAUGCACCUCAAGGUCGUAAUCUUUAAUUAACUCUAGCCACCUUCGUUGGCGCAUAUUAAGCUCAGCUUGAGUAAAGAUAUACUUCAAGCUUUUGUGAUCUGUAUAUAGAUGACAUGUGUUCCCCAACAGAUAAUGACGCCAGAUCUUUAAUGCAUGUACCACGGCGGCUAGUUCAAGAUCAUGGGUCGGGUAAUUCUCUUCAUGGGGUUUGAGUUGUCUGGAAGCAUAUGCAAUUACGCGACCCUCCUGCAUUAGCACACAGCCUAUCCCGAUUCCUGAUGCAUCGCAAUAUACAUCAAAGGGUUUUUCAAUAUCUGGCUGGGCUAAGACAGGUGCAGUUGUCAACAACCUUUUCAGAGUCUGAAAGGCUUGCUCACAUUGGGGUGACCAAACAAACCUGGUUUGAUUUUUGAGCAAGGUUGUGAUUGGUAUGGCGACUCUGGAAAAGUCCGGGAUAAAACGACGGUAAUAUCCCGCCAUACCCAGAAAACUACGGACCUCAUGUACCGUAGUCGGGGGUUUCCAAUUCAACACGUCUUCUACCUUGCCUGGGUCUACAGCGACUCCCUCCGCUGAUAAUACAUGACCCAGGAAAUGGACUUUGUCCAGCCAGAACUCACAUUUGCUGAACUUGGCGUAUAGUUGAUGCUCCCUGAGACGGGUCAGCAUGAUUCUCAAGUGUUCGGCAUGUUCUUUUUUAGUCUUGGAGUAAAUCAAGAUGUCAUCGAUAAAGACGACCACAAAUUUGUCUAGUUCUGGCAUGAAGACAGAGUUCAUCAGGUACAUGAAAUGGGCCGGUGCGUUAGUCAACCCAAAAGACAUUACCAAGUAUUCAUACAGCCCGUAACGGGUUGUAAAAGCGGUCUUGGGCACAUCUUCCGGCCUAAUUUUAAUUUGGUGGUACCCUGAUCUCAAAUCAAUUUUUGAGAACACUUUGGCCCCAGCUAGCUGGUCAAACAAUAAGUCAAUGCGGGGCAAUGGGUACUUGUUCUUAAUCGUUACCUCAUUUAGAGGACGAUAGUCGACACACAGCCUUAAUGUCUGAUCUUUCUUUUUCACAAACAAGGCUGGGCAACCCCAUGGAGAAGAACUGGGCUGAAUAAAACCUUUCUGUAACAACUCUUGUAAUUGGGUUUUUAAUUCGGCCAGCUCUUUCGGUGCCAUUCUGUAGGCCCUUCGAGAUAUUGGGGCUGUUCCUGGUUUCAAUUCUAUACUGAAUUGUACAUCCCGGUCCGGAGGCAGACCUGGUAAGUCUUCAGGAAAUACAUCCGGGAAAUCUCGAACUACCGGGAUAUCUUUAACUUCAGACACAUUAGCGGCAUGAACUUGCCCAAUUGUCCAUUUGGGAGUAACUAAUUGAAUUAGCAAAUAAGAAUUCUCAUUGGGCAAUGGGAUUUUAAUGGUUCGAUGCAGAGUGUCCAGCACAACCCCUCGUUGUGCCAUCCAGUUCAUGCCUAAGAUGACAUCAAUUUCUUGGUCCUUAAGAACAAUCAUGCUAGUAGGAAAAUUAUGCCCACCAAAUUCGAUGGGUACUUGGUGAACCAUUUCUUUAGACAUCAGCCGUCCUCCUGGCGACUGUAUAUAAAAAUGAUCUUGUGUUUCCCCAAUGGGUAUGCCAUGCUUUAACACAAAGGUGCGAUUAAUGAAUGUAUGAGAUGCACCAGAAUCGAAGAGCAUUAAAGCAGGAUGUUUCGCAACAGGAAACGUACCCAUCAUCACUGGUUCACCCUCUGGAAUCGUCUCCACUUCAGUAUGGAAGACUUGCCCUGUCUUCUUUACCGGUCUACCUUUCUGUACCUGUUGCCCUUUCUGAGCCCCAGUCCUGAACUGACUUGGCUGGGGUUAUCCCAUAGGUGGCCUUUGAAAGGUAGGGUUGGUUUGACGGGGAAAAGGGCACUCUUUAGAGAAAUGCCCAGGCUUACCACAAUUGAAGCAAGGGUAAUUGUGGCUGGGCGAAGCAGUAGGGCGAACACCCGAGGCGUUCGGCUGGCGUGGUGCAAAAGCGAUGGCAGUAGGUCGAGAGUAUACCUGCUGCCCGGGUCUGUACUAUGGAGGGGAGAAAGGACCACGAUAAGGUGACGGCGCUUGGAAACGUCCGUGGCCCUGUGGAUGAUAAAUGAUUCUCUGGCGCUUUUGACCGCGACCAGAGAAAGAAGAGGAAGCAGCCUUCUUCUUGGCUUCCUUGUGUUUCCUAUUCUUUUCCUCUGAGGCGAUAGCAAUAUUUACCGCCUCAUAGAAAGUAGCAUUUUGGCACGUGGUCAUCAUGGUCUGAAGUUUAGUAUUUAGACCACGCAUGAAACAGGCUUUCUUCUUUCUGUCAGUGUUCACAUGAUCCAUGGCAUAUUGAGAGAGAUGAUUAAACCUUGCCACGUACUCCAUAACACUUUUAUCGCCUUGCUGCAAGGCGAGAAACUCUUCGGCCUUCAUGGCCAUGAGCCCUUCGGGGAUGUAGUGGGCGCGAAACGCGUCCCUAAACUCGGUCCAGGUAACCUGGUGGCCGGGAGCUUGGAUAGCUAAGAAGUUCUCCCACCAGGCACCUGCAGCUCCCCGAAGCUGCUGGGCUACAAACAGGGGCUUCUGAGUUUCUGAACACUGAAUCAAACUGAACUUAUGCUCCAUGGUUCGGAGCCAGUCAUCCGCUUCUAAAGGCUCAUCGGCCUUAGCGAACACCGGGGGCCUGGUCUCGGUAAAGUCCACAUACCGAGUCUCCCCGUCCCCGUUGCGCGGUGCCCUAAAGUUUGGAGCAGGGUGUGGUUGACGCUGUGCUAGCUCGCGCAGUAAGCGAGCGUUGUCAGUUGUGGCACUUAGCAGAACAGCAAUGGCGUCAGCCAAAGAAGGUGGAGCAGGUGGAGGGUUGGGGAUAUCAUCCCCUCCCUGGGAUGUCCCAGCUCCAUCAGAUCCGCGAGUACGCAUCGGCAUCUGUUACAAGAAUCGUAGAUACCUGUUACCACGUGAAAUUCAUAACACCGAACAUAUCUUACAUUCUUCCAUUCACUUAUUAAACAUUAGUUCGACACACCAAGAGUAAACAAGUACAACUUUUCAAACCAAAAGAGAACUUAUAUUACAAACCCGAACCCCACUACGGCAAGCUAAGACCCCUACAACGACGUUGCCCUCGGUUUCACCGAACUAAUCGGUGUGGCCAGAGCUGUAGCCCGGGUCGUCAUUGCCAUCAUCCUGAUUACCCCCUAGGUUGUGGUCAUCGGAGUCGGACUCCUCUUCAUCACUGAGGCCUGGAUCAGGUUCCCCAUCGUCUGCCAACUCGCCAUCCGUAUCCAUUUCCCCUUCGCCGGGAGGUGGGUGGAGUUGAUGAUACAGAUCAAAUGCAGUAUCACGAUAUUGCAUAGCCAGGUCAUUGACUGUAUCUAAGUGAUGUGCCAGCUCCAGUUUCUCCAGCUGGAGCUGGUCCUCUCGUUGCCACGCGACAUCCCGCUGUGCGGUGACCGUGGCCGCCAUCUUCACGUACAAAUCCUUAAGAUACCUGGCCUUGCCCAACUUUGCGUUCAUCCUAGUUAGCUCAUGCCUGUGUGUGCUCCUAGCUUCUUCCUCUCGGGCAAUGGCUGCAUUCCGCUCCUCCACCAUCCGGGACAACAUAGCCUCACAGUUCUCUGUAGCUUGUUUUUCUUUGGCCAGUUGAGCUUUAAGUUUGCCAAUCUCCAUAACAUUGUACAUUCUCUCUCUCAUCACCUCAGUCAACUCGGCGGACAACCUGUCCACCUCCUGCUGAGGCGGCGAACGGCUACUACUGGCUUGAUCACUGCGUGGAGCUAACUGAUGUCGGGGAACUCCUUUUGGACCAGUCCGCUUACGCGGGGUCUGCUUCUGACGAGCCAUCCUGUAGAGGGUAAGUUUAGAUUAGUAAGAAAGACCUUAAAGGUUAGCAAGAAUAGGAUAGAUUCUAUUCACCCAACCCAAACAAGGAGGAAGGAACUUAACCAGUUAAUACAUCAUGAUGCAUGCACGAACUUACGAUUCCUACUAACAAUUCGUAACGAUAUUACUUUAAACUUUUACAACAUAGGGCAAUACUUUAUGUUGCUCCUCCAUACCACUUCCAAAAAUUCUAAGAAAGCCUAUAGAUAGGGGUAGGUUAGGACUAAGCACUUGGACUCAAAAUAGGCAGGUUCAUAGUAUUAGAUCCAAACGAAUUUUGAAGUUUUUCAAUAGUUACAACAGUCAUCUUAACAACGAAGGCUCUGAUACCAGCUGUGGCAGAACCCCCUAAGUGUUUGGGCCCACCGGCACCUGUCAUUGUCCUAAGGACCUCUGACGGUGAUGCCGGGAGUCCUCCCACUUUAGAAGUCCGAUGAGCACCGAUGGGCGCUCAUUCCACUGCUACCUGUGGCGUACCAAGCUGGCUCGUCCUGACCACUGGUGAUGGUCAAACAACGAGAACUGUUUCUUCUCGCCCUUACAGGAUAGCAAGUGGCCACCUUAACACCAGGAUCAUUCGUUGCGAAGAUAAAGCAAUAACUCAGCGACACAAGACCAAAAUAAUAUUUCAGAGUGAAACAGCGGAAGUAUUACAUAACUUAAUUUACAAAAGGAGUUCUUCCAAAUAGUAGAGUGUUAUUACAAGCCUGGUCCAGCGGAGCAACUUAAACUUUAAGACAGAGAGUACAAAUUUACCGACCCUGCCCAUGGGUCACGCUCAUUCUUCUUCGUCGUCAACCUCGACGACGGUCACACAACAGGGUCCGAAGCAAGUCGGCUCAUGUGCUUCACCUGCAACCGGGGUAUUGAAACCCUGAGUACGGGAGUACUCAACAAGACUUACCCGAUGGGAAAAGAGGAGAACUUAGGGAUGCAGGCUUAGGGUAGACAAGGGGUGGCUGAGCAAGGAGCCAAAGUGUUUUGCGUAAAAAGCUUACUAGUAGUGCAUCCUUAUUUUCAAGUUUUACCCACGAAUUCCUCCCUCACAGAGGCCGAGGAGUUCGAGGACAGUCUAACUGGUUGUUCCCCCCACAGACGGAUCCGUGAGUUCCUAGUCCUAUCACAAAGUAUUAUUUAUCGAUGGCCAUAGCUUCAUGUCGCUAUGAGUCCGGGAAUUGGGAUCCGAACCUCAUGGGACAUUUUCCCCUUUUCUCAUUUUAUCACUUAGUUGCAUAUUUAUCUACGAUGAGGGUCGAAGGAAUUGAGUCUCCCAAUCGGGGAGCAACGACGAUUCGAAUCGCUUAGCAAUCCAGCUGGAGUUCCUAACCACUCGACAUAUGUAGAACUAAAUCUUGCAUAUGUCAAUCCAAAUCAAGCUCUCCCCAAAUCUGACCAGGUUCGCGGCACCCGAGAGCACAGUACCCCACCAUCCUACAGCCGAUCUAGAUGUUUUCCGGUCAUCUCAGAUCCGUAAGGUGGGCACACGCUACUCUCGCCAUCUUUCCACUCCCAGUGCGCGAGUAGCUGUUCGCGUCGAGGGAUCACAAGACCGGGCUUACCGAGGGCAAGCGGUUAGUACUAUAAAUUCUCAACCCAGCAGGCCAUCAACGGAACGGUCCUUAAUCGACACAGUCGGAGACACUACUUUAAGACUCCAUUCUUAGAGCAAGUCCACCGACCGGUCUCAAGUUGAAACAUCAUUGAUCAUAAGUGUAUCCCACAACAACCCUUCAAACUUUCUUGUUUUAAAAAAAAACUUAUCUAGUAGCAGGGCUAAGCAUCGCUACGCAGUUUUAAAAUAAACAGGUGUCAAGGACAGGAUAACAGAUAUCAAGGUAGUAAAUGCAGCAAGUAGGUUAACCCAAUUCUUAACUACAUAAUGCAGCAUUUUCAAUUUACAAGUGAUAAAAGAUUUAAAACAUUCAAGGAGGGGUUAAUGCAUCCGGGGCUUGCCUUGGUUGCAGGGCAGAGAGGGACCCUCGGAGACUUCCCAAGUCUCGGAUCCGACUUCCUCGAACGGAGCACCGACCUCGGGGUUCGGUUCAACGGGCGCUCCUUCGGUCACGGACACUAUACGCAAAAUGAUGAAUGCUCAUGAUAGGUGUAUGACAAUUAUGCAAGAAGGACCGAAUCGAGUACAACUCGCCUUCUUGAUGCAAUACAGAAUUAUCACUAAAUAAAGUUGCUUAAUAACUUAAUGUUUUUACCCAAAAGGUUGCAUCUGUAAACUAAAACUUUAUUUAAUUCAUAUUUAUUUUAAAUUAGUAAUUAUUAAUCCUAAUUACCUUAAUUAAUUCUUAAUUAACUAUUAAUGACAGUAAUUAAGCAUUAAGGCUAAAUAAUAAUAAAAUGUCAAAGGUCAUUAGGGUUAACGACCUCAGGUUAUCACAUAAUCCCAAAAUCACUCAACCCUAAUUAUGAGGAUCUAAACAAUCACUAUUUAAUUAUUUUGGAAUUAUUAUUUAAGUGCUAAAUAAGGAUUUAUUAAUGUUUUAAUCAAAUAUUAUCCAAAUGCCACCAAAUUUUGUGUGGAGCCAGGGAAUACCACUCAGAGGCUCUCCACAAUUUUUGGUGAUUUUUGGACCUCCUAAUAAAUUACUAAAAUUCCUAGAAGUUUUAUUCACUAAUUAAAGAGCCAAUUUUUUAUAGACAUGCAAACUAUCAGAGAAAUAAAUUCUAAUAUUUUUCCUAGGCUCUAUACAUUUUCUGGAACCUACCCAAAAAGUUUCACUAUUUUUGGACCACUACACAAUUCAAUAUUUAAAUUCAAAUAUCAAAUAUUUUUAAACAAAAAGGAAAAAGAAAAGUGCACUGUGCAGUGCUGGCGGCCUGCUCGGACCCGGCCCAAGACGGCCCGCGAGCUCUCCCGCGCUCAGCGCCCUCUCCCUCUCUCUCUCACGCGGUCGCUGACGGGCGGGUCCCGCCCGUCAGCUCCGUCUCCUUCCUAGCGCCGCGGCUCCGGCGAGCUCCAGUGAGCCGUCGGCGAGCUCUCGGCCUCCGCGGUGAGACGCGUUAGCUUCCUCGACCUCCCGCGCACCCAGGGGCACCCUUUUCUCCCACUCUCCUCUAUCCUAACCCCUGUGACCACGGGCACGGCGGACGGCCGUCUCGGCCGAGCAAACGCCGGCCACUACGAGCGAGUAGAGCGUGACUUGAGCAGCGCAAAAGCACCAGGGGCUCACCACGACCUCAACCGAGCAAGAAGCGGCAGCGGAGAGGCUCUGGUUGACGCUGGCCACGAUGACGUGCUUGCGGUGGCGCUCGGCCGGAGUUGAGAAGGGAAACGGCUCGGGUGGGAGCUACGGUAGGAUAGAGCGUGCGUUUAGGGGCGCAAACGGUGGCGGGGCUCAAGGCGGAGCUGCUGGGGUGCUCAAAUGGCUUGGAAUGGCAACGGGUGAGGCGAAUUUGGUCGGCGCAGGAAACUCGUCGGCGUCGGGGUUCAAGAAAAGAAAGAGGGGACUCCGGCCACUCGGGGCUUUAUCCCCACGACAGAAGGCGGUUCGCGGAUGAGGACGUCCACGCGAAGCACAGCAGCAAGCAGCUGCGUGGCCAGCUGCGUGGCGUCGCGCGCGGAGGCGGCUCUGCCCCGGCGGCAGAGCACCCCCCCCUGCCGAUCACUGUAGCAGUGCAUAUCCACUCAGUUUGGGGUUUUGCAAAUUUUGACUGAAAUUUGAACUGGAGUCAAAUUUGUGUCAAAACAAAAGUUGUUCCAAAUUUUAUAAGCUACACAACAUAUUUCGGUGACCAGAACUGAUUUUGAGUGUAACAGGGUGAAUUUGGCCAAAACAGUUUGGAAAUCAAAAUUCAAUUUGAGAGGAUUCAAAUUUUUGCAUUGGGGCAGAUUAGAAUUUCCAAAAUUACUUUUGUUUUUCCUAAACAACUUGAAAAACUCCCAACAUGAAAGUUGCUCAAAUUUUUGUGCUCUACAACUUUCGUGUUGACCACUUUUUAAAAUUCCCAAUGGAUUUUGAAUUGGAGGUUUAAUUUGGAAAAGGGGACACUUUUCGGAAAUCUGUAUUUUCAAAAUUACUUUGAAUUUUGUAUUGAAACUUCAAAAACUCAAAACACCAAAGUUGUACAUCUUGCCAAGAGCUACAACUUUGCUUUUGAACUCAACCUCAAAUUUUGCUUAGUUUUUGACUUAUGCAAAAGGGGCAAAUCUAGGAUCCAGAAAUCAGGGUUUUUCCCCCCUUAGCUUUUCGGAAAAUUUCCACCCUAGGGUUUAGCAACCACUCAAGCAUCAACACACCACAUAAGCACACUCUACCUCCCUAAGCUCAAGCAAUCAAAGUGAACUGGUUUUAAGCUGAUGCUUACUAAUAUGCUUAACAAAUAUGAUUUGCAAUGCUCAUGAUGACAUGAUCCGUUUUUAGUAACCGUAACAUCGGGGAUGUUACAGCAUGCUCAAGCCAAUGGGCAGGCCGAAGCGUCUAACAAAGGAAUUAUCAAGCUUAUUAAACGAAAGAUUGAAGAAAAUCCUAGGCGGUGGCAUACAUUGUUAAAUGAAGCACUAUGGUCUUAUCGGAUGGCUUGUCAUGGAUCAACCAAGGUGUCACCCUAUCAAUUGGUGUAUGGACAUGACGCAGUGUUGCCUUAGGAGAUUAAGGCUGGAUCUAGGCGAUUAUCUUUUCAAGAUCAAUUGGCUGCCGAUGAUUAUGCCACUUUGAUGACCGAUGAGUUAGAUGAUUUAGCAGGGCAUCGGUUAAAGGCUUUAAUGAGUAUAGAAGAAAAUAAGAAGAGAGUUGCUAGAUGGUAUGAUAAGAAAGUAAAGGCUAAGGAGUUUGCCGAUGGGGAUUUAGUAUGGAAGUUGAUUUUGCCAGUCGGGACUAAAAGUUCGAAGUUUGGGAAGUGGUCUCCUAAUUGGGAAGGUCCUUAUCGGAUAAGACACUCGGCUCCUGGUAAUGCCUAUAUUCUAGAAACUCUCGAAGGAGUUGAAUUUCCCAGAGCAUUAAAUGGCAAAUAUUUAAAGAAGUACUACCCCAGCAUAUGGGUCGAUGCAUAAAAGUUUAAGUGCCGAUAACACUCCUAUCGGCUGGAUUUAAAUGUUUGGGGGUAGACUUAAUGUUUCAAAAGAUGCCGAUAACAGUCUUAUCGGCUAGACUAAAAGCUAAAAGCGGGAAAACAAAGGUGUGUUGCCGAUGAAAGCUUCAGAUGUUCAGCAACGCUUGUAUUGCCGAUAUGGCGCACAGCCGGAUCUGAUUGGCUGUCUCUAUCUCUUUGAUAUCAUCAUCGGCAGAACCUUCUAUCGGCUUUAGCUUCCUCUUCAACUGCAGCGCUUUGCGACCGUGGACGUUUCGUUCUUGUUCAAGGUGCUUGAUGGUCUCCGGCAGUUGACUCUCUUCUUGCUGGGCUUGGGACAGAGCAUCCUCUACUUGCUUGAGUUCGGCCAGUAGAGCUUCUCUUUUUGCCGAUAGAUCAGAUACUUUCUGCUUCAGUGCAUCACCUGAGGACUUUAAGGUGCCGAUGUUCUUAUGUUUCUCAUUGGCUAAGAGUUUUUCUUUCAUCAUCUCCUCAGAAAGCUGGAUUUGAGCGGCUCUAUCAGCAAGGCAUCGAGUGGCUCUCUGGUACUGUAGCUGGCGGCUUUCUAGGUGUGCAGCAUGGAAGAGGGUUUCUUCAGCAUCGGCAGGAAUUUGGCCUCUAAGGGUUUUGAACAGGGCCUUGGCUGGGUCAGAAUCGUUGACCAGUUGAGCUGUGUCUUGAUGAAGUAUGGCCGAUAGCUCCUCCAGCUUAGCCCUGGUUUCUGCCGAUACAGUCGCAAUUGCCCGAGAGGAGCUUGCUUCCUCACCUUCUUCUUCGAAGAUAUCAAUGGCGAAGGAGAAUAAGCUAUCGGGAGAAUCUUGUUCCUGAAAAUGAGAAUGAAAUAAGUCAUUUUUAUGGUCAAAGCUUCGGCAGACGAUACUGGUGGAAAAAUUGGAUGACUUACUUGUUUCAAGGCAAUUUCUUGCCUUUGACUCAAAGAUACUGAUGGAGCUACAGGUUGAUCGGCAAAUGUUGCCGAUGGAACGAUAUCGACUGAAAGAAGACAGGAAGGGUUAUGAGACUAAAUGAGAAUAAGUUUAUCGGCGGAAGUAUUGUUGAAAUAUGUUACCCGGAGGAGGAACAACAGUUGUCUGAAUCGGGGAAACCGCCGAUGAUAUAACUGGACCUGCCGGGCCAGUUGUUUGUUCACCCACGUCAGCUGAUGUACCUUCUGUUUGAGGUUCUUCCUGCUGGGGUUCUUCCAUCUGUGGUGCUUCCUGCAUUGGUUGGGGAGAUGGUGCUUGCUGUGUCUGGACUUCUGGAGAAGAAGGGGAAGAUUCCACCGGGAUUGGAGACACCGGAGGAGGAGGGGGAGUUGCCACUUUCUGGCGCUUUGUUCCAGCCUUAGCACCUUGGGUGCCCUUCCUCUUUGGCUGGCUAGACUGGGGGGCAUCGGUACCUUGGCGUUUGGCUUUUGCCGAUGCACCAGUUUGCUGCAACAACAAAAAGGAGUUUAUGAGCACAGAUAGCCGAUACAAAGAUAGUCAGCAUAAAUGAAAAGGGUUUGGCAAAUUGCCUUGAAAGCUUGUGCCAGAGUAGAAGCAGCUACCGUUGGCGAUGUCUGAUUCUUCCUGGUGGUAACUUUCUUGAGGCGCGCACUCCGAUGCACGAUGGAAGCCAGAGUGGGAGCAUUGUGGCCGAUUGAGGAGAUCGGGCCUGAUGGGAACAAGUCGAUCGGCUUGCCACUCCUGCUAACCGAUGGGGGGGUGUUGUCAACCUGCAAAAGGAAUACAGGGGUAAGUUACCGAUGGAAAUAGUAUUGGAAAAUGAGACAUCGGUUUAAAAUACAUACAGUGUCAUCAGGGACUUCGUAUUCGGGGUCGAUCAUGCCGCGGUAUGAGAGGACCGAUCUACAAAAUAGAUUCUCUUUCCAUUCUGCCCACCAUAGCUUGUAUGCCUGAGUGAUAAAGGCAGCUGGAACCCAUUCUGACAGAUCUACAUCUGUAUCGGCAUUUGGUGGUAGCUGGGCUACUCGAGUCCACUCGAGAAGGUUGGUGAUGGGUUCUCUGGGCUUUAUCACAUCGGCAUAAGGAAGUGCAAUCGGCAACUGGCCGAAAGCUAGCUGGCGAGCUAAUGCCGAUGGAUUGUAAAAUUCAUAGGUCUGGGGAGAGGUUUUUGUGCUACCGAAGAAAUUCACUGGUAUGGCUCUGGGAGUCACAAUUGCCAUCAUCACCUCAUUAUCCCUGUCAAGAGCUUCAUCAAAUGGAUUGAAGGUUAGAGGGAGCAUGCUGUCUGGGUCAUCAUAGGCCAACCAUGGUCGUUCAUCUCUGGCCAAUCCCUCAUACAGAGUCUCGAAGAAUCGGCCGAUCUGAUCCGGAUUGUUCCCUGAACCGGGUAAGACUAUAACGGCUUCGCCAAAGUUCAAGGGGGCACGCGUUGCCGAUUCCUCUUCACCCAACACAUGAUUUUCGGCUAUAUCUCUUGGGAAGUGCUGUGAGAACAAGUUGAAAUCAAGGCGCUUAUGCAGGUGCAGAUUGAGCCACAUAUUAAUAAACCACCAGGGGCCUCCCAAGUUGCCGAUGGAUUGGCCAAGCAGGAGUUUCUGGGCUACCUGAUGAAGAAGAUGGUAAACAGCGCUGAGCAAAUAUCGGCCGAGAGGAAAUUGGCCACCGCUAGCCAGUCUUUCUGCUGCCGAUAGAUAGACAGAAGUUGGUCCUGCCGAUCGACCACAGAAUACAAACUUGUCCAGCCACAUGUUCAGAAAGGUGGUUUGCUCCUUUAUGGUGACAGGCCCUCUCCCGCGGUACUUCUGGAUGUACCCUGACCAACCGCCGAUAGCGCGAGUCUCCACUUUGGCACUGGGGGCAGUAUCAAAAAAGUGGGUGCUAUCGGCAGAAGAUAUAUCUAGCCCAGUGAGCAUGGCUACAUCGGCAAGGGUAGGAGAAGCAGGGCCGUGGCCAAAAACAAAAGCAUUGAGAGUGUCUGACCAAAAGUAGGAUGCAGCUAUCAGCAGUGACUCGUUCCUGUGCAUAUCGGCAAUGGAUAGCCUAAUGCAUUGAGCUAGCUUCCUCUCACCCCACUGGACUUCAUAAGAAUUGCUGACCCUCAAGAACCAGUCUUUCCAUCCUACAGUAGGGCUAGGCCAAGAACGAAAAGUGUCUUUCCAUAGAUCUACAGAAAAGUUUUCAGCCCUAAUGGGGAUUCUAUUGGUUUCUGCGUUGAUAAGAUUGGUUGGAUCUGAAUCCCCUAGAGGACCGAGACAUUGAAGGUGUGGUUGAUCGGUGGGGAUGACAAUUUUAUUGGACAACUCCUAGUGAUUUUGGGGAAUAAAAAUACAAAGAAAAAGGAAAAGGGGAAUAUUCAGUAAGAUGAAUCGCGGAUGAAUAGGAAUAUACACAGAAGAUGAGAUGGAAGUCUGACCUCAGGGACGACGAAGCCAAUGGCCAUCUUGUCGUGAAGAGGACGUUGGAGGGCACCGGAGUUGAUGAAGAGGAGUGCUUGUCGGAGAUCUUAAAGGUUGUAAAUGGCGCCGCCGCUGGAAAAGCAAAGUUGGAUAGUAGAAUGGUGUAAUGGGGGAGGAGUACCCAAGAAGGAACUAUUUAUAGGACAAGAUGGGCAAGGGCAAAUCCGACUUAUCUCUUUGCCGCAUCCGAGAAGCCCGAGGGUACUCAGGUGGAUAUGGUAACUGUUCGCACGGUAAUCCAGGGAUUGUGCAGGUGAUUUGACGGGAAGCGGUCAUUAUCUAAAGAUAUUUUACUGUGCGAGAUCUCCUGGUCGGUCCAUCGGCGAUAUUCUAUAACGGUCAUCUUGCCGAUGGGCGGAUAGAGGGAAGGUAACCGUUUUUGCGAAUAUCCUGGUCAGAGCAUCGGCAGAUCUUUGUAACGGUAUUGUUGCCGAUGUACGACCAAGAAAGAUGCCCGUUUAGGAAGUUGGGGAUUUCGAGGAAUCUGCGGAGGAUUAGGAUCAGAGUUGUCCAGAUUGAGGUUGUCGGUUACCAGAUUAGGAGCAUUAAUUGCGGAGAAGGCAUCAUUACUGCAGAGAAUUUCGGAGCAUUAAUAGUUUUAUACUCCGAAACUGGGGGGCAUGUGUUGACACCAUUUUUGGGCACGUGUCUAGGAUGGCAGGAUAGGGUGGCAGUACGAUGCGGGUUGCUGAUGAGGAAGGUUGCCGAUGAGGGAGAAGUUGAAUGUGACUAAGUCCACAGGCAGUAAUAUGGUGCCGAUGGCUGGAUAAAAAGGUCUGCCGAUGACUAUGGCAAGGGGAUUGCCGAUGAUGCGAAGGAGGAGUCCGGAAGCUGCCAGUUGUCAUGUGGAGGAGUUUCGGUUUGUCACGAAGGAUAGUUUUAUUAUUUCCUUAAUUAUUUGCAUCGGUUUGUAUACGGAUUCCGUGUAAUUUGGAAUUCGAAUUCUAAUCGUGUCUGGUUGUAGCUCUUUGAGCAGGGUAUAAAUAUAAACCCUAGGACCUUGUAAUAAUCAAUCAAGAAAUCAAUCAAACACACGUUUUUACUCAUAUUCCAGCAUCUACUUUUCGACGACUUCGUCAUACUUUUUUCUUUUUAUUACGAGUUCUUAGGAAUUCGUCGACUUAAGCUCGGCGUGUUCUCGAGUUCCGCGUGAGUACCUCUUAGCCGUGACAUCCGGGCGCAUCGCUGUUGUCAGGACUAAAGUAUUCGAGUUAUCACCUUUGCCGAUAGCAAGGUCAAAUCGGCUGGCACGCCUUAACGUUUGAAUCGGGUAUUAGCCCUUUGUGUUUGCAGAUCAGUUUUGCAUCAACAGAAGCAGCCAACCAAAUUCGGCUACGUGCUAUAUCGGCUAUCCAGUCGCUGCUUAACACAUAGAGUUUCCAUCGGCAUUGUAUCUACGCUUUCCUGCUUCCUCAACUUUUAGUCUAGCCGAUAGGACUGUUAUCAGCGCCUAAACUUUUGAAACACCAAGUUCUGUCCCCAAGCAUUUGGCUCCAGCCGAUAGGAGUGUUAUCGGCACCUAAACUUUUAUGCAUCGACCCAUAUACUGGGGUAGUACUUCUUUAAAUAUUUGCUGACCCUCCCAAUUAGGAGACCACUUUCCAAACUUCGAGCUUUUGGUCCCAACUGGUAAAAUUAAUUUCCAUACCAAAUCCCCAUCGGCAAACUCUUUAGCCUUCACUUUCUUAUCAUACCAUCUAGCAACUCUUUUCUUAUUUUCUUCUAUACUCAUUAAAGCUUUUAACCGAUGCCCUGCUAGAUCAUCCAAUUCAUCGGUCAUCAAAGUGGCAUAAUUGUCGGAAGUUAAUUGAUCUUGAAAAGAUAAUCGCCUAGAUCCAGCCUUAAUUUCCCAAGGCAACACGGCAUCAUGUCCAUACACCAAUUGAUAGGGUGAUACCUUGGUCGAUCCAUGACAAGCCAUCCGAUAAGACCACAAUGCUUCAUUUAAUGAUGUAUGCCACCACCUAGGAUUUCCUUCAAUCUUUCGUUUAAUAAGCUUGAUAAUUCCUUUGUUAGACGCUUCGGCCUGCCCAUUGGCUUGAGCAUAAUAAGGAGAAGAAUUCAACACUUUAAUUCCCAUACCGAUUGCGAAUUCAUCGAACUCCCCCGACGUGAACAUGGUGCCCUGAUCGGUAGUAAUCGUUUGGGGAAUCCCAAAUCGGUAAAUAAUAUGCUCCUUCACAAAAUCAAUCAUAUUGGCCGAUGUGACUUUCUUCAAAGGAAUAGCUUCGACCCACUUAGUAAAAUAGUCAGUGGCAACUAGAAUGAACUUAUGCCCUUUGCUAGAUGGUGGAUAAAUCUGGCCGAUCAGAUCGAUGGCCCAUCCCCGGAACGGCCAAGGUUUUAUUAUAGGAUUCAUAGCCGAUGCGGGUGCUCUGUGGAUAUUACCAAACUUUUGACAAACUUGACAUCCCUUGAAAUAUUUAAAACAAUCUUCAAGUAUGGUUGGCCAAAAAUAUCCAUUCCUUCGAAUCAUCCAAUUCAUCUUAAAAGCUGACUGAUGCGCUCCACACACUCCUUCAUGGAUUUCCCCCAUCAAACUUCUGGCUUCAUCAUCACCCAAGCAUCGGAGAAGAAUUCCGUCGAUAGUUCGAUAAUACAAUUCAUUUUCAAGGAGCACAUACUUGGUUGCCUGAAAUCGAACCCGUCUUUCAACUUUUUUGGACGGAUCUUUUAGAUAAUCAAUAAUUUCUUUCCUCCAAUCACCGGCACCGACUGCCGAUGUCGCAUUAAUCAUUGGCUGAUAUCCCGAGGCAUGCUGAGCUAACCGAUUAGCGUCUUCAUUAUGCAAUCGGGGAACAUGCUCCAAUCGGAAGUCCUUGAAUUCCUUUAACAGUUGCAUACUUCUCUCGAAAUAGGUUAUGAGAACUUCACUUCGGCAUUCAUAGCUUCCGGCCAAUUGAUUUAUAACCAACAUAGAAUCCCCGAAUAUUCAACAGCAUCAGCACGAACUUCUCUUAACAACUCCAAUCCCUUGAUCAGAGCUUGAUACUCAGCCUGAUUAUUUGUUGAUGUAGCAACAAUCGGCAAGGAAAACUCAUACUUCCUCCCCUUAGGAGAAACUAAUACAAUGCCGAUUCCUGCCCCCCGGUCACAGGUAGAUCCAUCAAAGAAGAGCGUCCAGGGUGCAAUUUCCAAGGUUUCCGCUAGACCGCAAUGCUGAGUGACAAAAUCGGCUAUAAUCUGCCCUUUGACUGCCUUAGCCGAUUCGUAACGCAAAUCGAACUCCGACAGCGCUAAAAUCCAUUUACCGAUCCUACCACUCAUAAUCGGCAUAGAUAGCAUGUAUCGGACCACGUCAUCUUUGCAAACAACAGCACAUUCGGCCGAUAAUAGGUAAUGUCUCAGCUUGAUACAUGAAAAAUAUAAGCAUAAGCACAGUUUCUCAAUGGCUGAAUACCUGGUUUCAGCAUCAAUCAACCUCCUACUCAAAUAAUAAAUUACCCUCUCUUUCCCUUCAAAUUCUUGAACUAAAGCUGAACCGAUAACCGAUCCAUCGGUAGAUAAAUACAAUUUGAAGGGCUUCCCUUGUUGAGGUGGAACUAAAACUGGAGGAUUUACUAGAUACUUCUUGAUUUCAUCCAGAGCCAACUGCUGUUCUUCUCCCCAAACAAACUCUUGAUCGGCUUUCAAUUUAAGAAGAGGACUGAAAGCACGAAUCCUCCCAGAUAAAUUCGAUAUAAAUCUUCUGAUAAAAUUCACCUUGCCAAUCAAGGAUUGGAGCUCGGUUUUAUUGGUAGGGGCCACUAUUUUAUUGAUGGCAUCAAUAGAUCUUCGACUAAUUUCAAUACCCCUCUGAUGUACCAUGAAACCAAGAAACUGCCCUGCCGAUACGCCAAAUGCACACUUGUUGGGAUUCAUCUUCAAUCCAUGCUUCCUUGUGCACUCCAACACUUUUCGUAAAUCGGCAAGAUGCUUUGAGAAAUCUCCAGACUUAACCACCACAUCAUCAAUAUAAAUCUCUACGAGCUUGCCGAUGAACUCAUGAAAUAUAAAAUUCAUAGCCCUUUGAUAAGUAGCACCAGCAUUCUUUAACCCAAAAGUCAUGACUAUCCAUUCAAAUAGUCCAACAUGACCAGGACACCUGAAUGCGGUUUUUGGAAUAUCCUCCUCUGCCAUGAAUAUUUGAUUGUAGCCUGCAUUACCAUCCAUGAAGCUGAUGACCCGAUGGCCAGCCGCAGCAUCAACCAGUAGAUCGGCGACAGGCAUUGGGUAUCCAUCCAUCGGUGUAGCUUUAUUGAGAUUCCUGAAAUCAAUGCACACCCGAAGCUUCCCGUUCUUCUUGUAAACCGGAACAACAUUGCAAAUCCAUUCGGCAUACCGACACUGCCGAAUAAACUUAGCUUCAAUAAGUUUAGUGAUUUCGGCCUUAAUAUCAGGUAGAAUGUUAGGAUUACAUCGACGGGCUGGUUGCUGAUGUGGCCGAAAUCCAGACUUGAUGGGUAACCGAUGUUCGACAAUUGAUCGGUCUAAACCAGGCAUCUCUGUAUAAUCCCAAGCAAAGCAAUCUUUAUAUUCCUUUAACAAACUAAUCAAUUGUCGCUUACACUCAGGAUCUAAUUUAGCACUAAUAAAAGUAGGCCUAGGCUUAUCACCACUACCUAUAUCUACUUCUACCAAAUCAUCAGCCGAUGUGAAUCCCUGGCCUAAUUUUCCAUCAUCGGCGAAUCUAUCCAUUAAAAACCGUCGUCAGAACCGACUGCUUGGAUCGGUGGAACCUCAUAAUCGGCAACUUUGAGAAAAUCUUUCUCCCAAACUUCUCCUGAAAUGCACCUGGUCCUUUCGUAAGUAUCCGCUUCUGCCGAUGCGAUAACAUAAGAAGAAUCUCCUGGGACGAUCUCAAUCUUGUCACCUACCCACUGAACCAAGCACUGAUGCAUUGUAGAUGGGACACAACAAUUGGCAUGAAUCCAAUCUCUCCCCAAUAAUAAAUUGUAGGCACCUUUUCCGCUGAUCACGAAAAAAGUUGUCGGCAAGGUUUUGCUGCCGAUGGUCAACUCUGCACAUAUCGCCCCCUUGACUGGAGACACGUUUCCUUCAAAGUCUUUGAGCAUCAUAUCGGUCUUGGUCAAAUCUUGAUCCCCUUUCCCAAGCUUCCGAUAUACUGCAUACGGCAUAAUAUUAAUAGCAGCUCCACCAUCAACUAGGAUCUUGGUCAUUGGCUGCCCAUCAACCCUUCCUUUGAGGAACAAAGCUUUAAGAUGCUGCCUCUCGUCAUCGGCAGGUUUCUCAAAGAUAGCCGUCAUCGGAUCCAGAGCCAACUGAGCUAUCUGAUCAGAAAAUUCCAACUCAUCGUCACUGGCUGGUGCAAGAAACUCCAUCGACAACAUGAAGACCAUGUUGACGCCUGCCGAUGGACCUUCCCUCUUAGUGUCUGACGGCUGCCGACUUCCAGAGUUCUCUCCCUUGUUUAGCUCCUCUUGUCUUUCUCGUUGCAAUCUCCUUUUCUGUGUCUUGGUUAAUCCUCGAGGGCACCAUGGAGGAAGUGGCCUUUGCCUUGCCGUCGGGCGUCGAUUCUCCCUUGACUCCAUGCGAUGCGUGUUAGCAUCCCUGCAAAAUAUGAAUUCAUCGGGAACCCGCGCAUCAGCCAUUCCUUCAAGCUCCUCUUGGUUCCUGGGAAAAUACUGGACACGGUCACUAAGUCUGUUGUGCCCACUGAAUCUGCCCCCCAGCCGGUCAUGAACUGACACCCUUCCUCUGAUCGGCCCAUUAGCUCGCCGUUCAUCAUCAUGAUAACGCCGAUCGUUCCUAUCGUACCGAUCAUAACCGUUGCAUUCAGGGCAGUCUCUGACAGUAGGAAGCUUGAUAUUUUCCUCCCAACAAUGGAUGAAGAAUGGGCAAUUCCAAUGAUCCCUGUGCCGACUCCACUCCUGUCGGCGUCUUUCUUCUUCCCGUUGAUAAUCUUCCUGCUGGCGCCGAUACCGAUCUUCCCGUUGUUGCCAUUUUUCUCGAGGCCUCCUAUGAGUUAUGACGAUACCAGAUCGAGGAAGCCUUCCUGAGCUAGUUCCUUCCUGGACCAAGCCCUUACUUCUUGCAUCGGCAGUAGUAACUUGAUGCUGAGGAUCUACCGAUGCACUCUUCUCAGCUGUCUCCGACGUUAAGACCUUAGCCUUCCCCUUAGCAUCCAACAUGUUUGUCGGGAAAGGAUGUUGGUCUAUCUUCAUCGGCUUCUGGGCUUUGGAACUGUCAAACUUGAUUCUCCCUGAUUCUAUAGCCAAUUGCAGCUGCUGUCUGAAUACUUUGCACUCGUUGGUGUCAUGUGAAGUUGCAUUAUGCCACUUGCAAUAUCUCAUCCUCUUCAACUCUUCUGCUGAUGGGAUCACGUGGUUAGGUGACAGUUUGAUUUGACCUUCCUGAAGUAGAAAGUCAAACAUCCUAUCGGCCUUGGCGGUGUCAAAGGCAAACUUCUCUGGUUCCUUCUGCCCAAAAGGACAAGACAUCGGCUUCUUGUUUUUUACCCACUCUGCCAAACCGAUUACUGGUUCCUCAUCGGAAUCUGAGCUUGUUGCUUCAUCAACAAAUGACACUUUCUUAUUCCAUGCCCUCUUAGGCUCGAAAGGCUUGAUGUCUUGUUCAGAUAUCCUCUGCACCAAAUGACUUAAACUUUCGAACUCCUGAGAGGCAUACUUAUCCCUGAUAUGUGGCAACAAACCCUAGAAAGCCAAAUCGGCUAGCUGCCGAUCAUCCAGAACCAGGCUAUAGCAUUUAUUCUUGACCUCUCGUAUCCUCUGCACAAAUCCCUCAACCGACUCAUCAUUACGUUGCCUUAACUUGACCAAGUCGGUGAUCUUCUUCUCAUGAACCCCCGAGAAGAAGUAUUUGUGAAAUUGCUUCUCUAGAUCGGCCCAAGUAAUUACUGAGUUGGGAGGUAAUGAUAUGAACCAAGUAAAGGCCGAUCCAGACAAUGAUGAUGAAAAUAGACGAACCCUCAAUUCGUCUCUGUUACCAGCCUCUCCACAUUGAAUAAUGAACCUGUUGACAUGCUCCAUGGUUGACGUGUCGUCCUGUCCGGAAAACUUUGUAAAAUCCGGUACCUUGUACCGAUGUGGAAGCGGGAUCAAAUCAUACGCUGGAGGAUACGGUGUCCGAUAAGAAUAAGUGUUGACUUUGGGUUUUAUCCCAAAUUGUUCCCUCAUUACUUCAGCAAUCUUAUCGGCCCAAUACGCAUCGGCAUCUUGCCGAUGAGGCGGCUGCGGAUCUGGCACUUGGUGGCGAACCUCCACGUGUCUGUUCGGGACGUGACCUGUAUGGAACAUUGUAUUGGUCACCUGUCCUCCAAUCUGCGGACCACCAAACUGCUGUCCACCGAUUGGCUGUCCUCCGAGUUGCUGUCCAAAAUUUAUUGGCUGGUUGGGAAUCCCCUGACCUUGGAACCCGGGAUAGACCUGCCCUUGCUGGAACCCUGUAGUCUGAUAACCCUGCUGGGGCGAUUGUGGAAAGGCUUGCUGUCCAAGCCAUCCAUUAUUAGCGUUCAUCGGCAUAGGUGCUGCCGAUGAUUGGUAAUUGGGUACCGUCGUUGAAUUGACAUACCCCGACUGGGCCAUAGGCCUCUGUUGCAUGAGCAUUGACUCUGCCGAUGCGUUGGGCAUCUGAAACAUUGAAUCUUGAGGAUUCCCAGUGUGAGGCCUUGCAGUAGUAGUUGUGGUAUACCGAGGACUCUGGUUCACCGGCGCAUUGGGAGGUGCCGAUGUCAUAGGAGUUUUGCCCCUCAUGUCAGUUAUUUGUGAUGUUCCCGGCGUCAACUCUGGAGGCAUACCAUAACCCCACCAGUUGGGAGGAAGAGUCAACCCUGACAUUGCCGAUGCCAACAUAUCUGUUGUCAGUUUAUGCUGCCCAACUGAAAUUUGUGGGUUGGUUGCCGUCGGCAUAGAUAGUGCACCAGUAGUCCCCAAUGUACUUGGAGGGACGGCAGACUGUGCACUUGCAUUCGUCAAGGCAGCCGAUGGAGCCGUGACUUCUGGUGCCGUUGGCUGAUGAUGGGAGGGCCCCACAUAAUCUGGCGGGAUUUGUCCUUCCUUGAAAGUUCUUGCCACAGUGUUGAAAACCGUAUUAGACAGUACACCAGCUUGGUUAAUCAACGCUCGAUUGAUGGCAUUGUCAACCAUAUCUUGAAGCUUGCCAGGAUUGGCGUCAAAGGUGACCUGCCGUGGUGCCGGCAGUGCAUCUUUCUGGACCACUUCGCCGCUCCUGUUUAUGCUGAAAGACCUCAGGCAUUGCUGCUUGAACUCUUCCAUGGCUUGGGCAAUAGCUUGCUUUUGCUCAUCCUUGAGGUUGGCCUCCGUCACGGGGAUGACGUUCUCUUGAUCGAGGUCAGAGAUCGACAUGUUGAUCUUGAUCUUGAAUCUGUCCCACCGGGCGUGCCAAAAGAUGUGUUGAUGCAAAACUGAUCUGCAAACACAAAGGGCUAAUACCCAAUUCAAACGUUAAGGCGUGCCAGCCGAUUUGACCUUGCUAUCGGCAAAGGUGAUAACUCGAAUACUUCAGUCCUGACAACAGCGAUGCGCCCGGAUGUCACGGCUAAGAGGUACUCACGCGGAACUCGAGAACACGCCGAGCUUAAGUCGACGAAUUCCUAAGAACUCGUAAUAAAAAGAAAAAAGUAUGACGAAGUCGUCGAAAAGUAGGUGCUGGAAUAUGAGUAAAAACGUGUGUUUGAUUGAUUUCUUGAUUGAUUAUUACAAGGUCCUAGGGUUUAUAUUUAUACCCUGCUCAAAGAGCUACAACCAGACACGAUUAGAAUUCGAAUUCCAAAUUACACGGAAUCCGUAUACAAAACGAUGCAAAUAAUUAAGGAAAUAAUAAAACUAUCCUUCGUGACAAACCGAAACUCCUCCACAUGACAACUGGCAGCUUCCAGACUCCUCCUUCGCAUUAUCGGCAAUCCCCUUGCCAUAGUCAUCGGCAGACCUUUUUAUCCAGCCAUCGGCACCAUAUCACUGCCUGUGGACUUAGUCACAUUCAACCUCUCCCUCAUCGGCAACCAUCCUCAUCAGCGACCCGCAUCGUACCGCCACCCUAUCCUGCCAUCCUAGACACGUGCCCAAAAAUGGUGUCAACAGCAGCAAUUAACCAAUUUGUUAAAGGAAUAUAAAGAUUGCUUUGCUUGGGAUUAUACCGAGAUGCCUGGUUUAGACCGAUCAAUUGUUGAACAUCGGUUACCCAUCAAGUCUGGAUUUCGGCCACAUCAGCAGCCAGCUCGCCGAUGUAAUCCUAAUAUUCUACCUGAUAUUAAGGCCGAAAUCACUAAGCUUAUUGAAUGGAUUUCCAAUGUCGUUCCGGUUUACAAGAAAAACGGGAAGCUUCGGGUGUGCAUUGAUUUCAGGAAUCUCAAUAAAGCUACGCCGAUGGAUGGAUACCCAAUGCCUGUUGCCGAUCUGUUGGUUGACGCCGCGGCUGGUCAUCGGGUCAUCAGCUUUAUGGACGGCAAUGCAGGAUACAAUCAAAUAUUCAUGGCAGAGGAAGAUAUUCCAAAAACCGCAUUUAGGUAUCCUGGUCAUGUUGGGUUAUUUGAAUGGAUAGUCAUGACCUUUGGGUUGAAGAAUGCUGGUGCUACUUAUCAAAGAGCCAUGAAUUUUAUAUUUUAUGAGUUCAUCGGCAAGCUGGUGGAGAUCUAUAUUGAUGAUGUGGUGGUUAAGUCUGGGGAUUUCUCAAAGCAUCUUGCCGACUUACAAAAGGUGUUAGAGUGCACAAGGAAGCAUGGGUUGAAGAUGAAUCCCAAUAAGUGUGCAUUUGGUGUAUCGGCAGGGCAGUUUCUUGGUUUCAUGGUACAUCAAAGGGGGAUUGAAAUUAGUCGAAGAUCUAUUGAUGCCAUCAAUAAAAUAGUGGCCCCUACCAACAAGACUGAGCUCCAGUCCUUGAUCGGCAAGGUAAAUUUUAUCAGGAGAUUUAUAUCCAAUCUGUCUCGUAAGAUUCGUGCUUUCAGUCCUCUCCUUAAGUUGAAAGCCGAUCAAGAGUUUAUUUGGGGAAAAGAGCAGCAGUUGGCUUUGGAUGAAAUCAAGAAAUAUCUAGCGAAUCCUCCAGUUCUAGUUCCACCUCAGAAGGGAAAGCCCUUCAGAUUGUAUUUGUCUACCGAUGGGACGGUUAUCGGUUCAGCUUUGAUUCAAGAAUUUGAAGGGAAAGAGCGUGUAAUUUAUUACUUAAGCAGGAGAUUAAUUGAUGCUGAGACCAGGUAUUCGGUCAUUGAGAAGUUAUGCUUAUGCUUAUAUUUUUCAUGUAUUAAAUUGAGGCACUAUUUAUUAUCGGCCGAAUGCACUGUUGUUUGCAAAGAUGAUGUGGUCCGAUACAUGCUAUCUAUGCCGAUUAUGAGUGGCAGGAUCGGUAAAUGGAUUUUAGCACUGUCGGAGUUCGAUCUGCGUUACGAAUCGGCUAAGGCAGUUAAAGGACAGAUUAUGGCCGAUUUUGUGACUCAGCAUUGCGGUGUAGUGGAGGCCUUGGAAAUUGUGCCCUGGACACUUUUCUUUGAUGGAUCUACAUGUGACCGGGGGGCAGGAAUCGGCAUUGUAUUAGUUUCCCCUAAGGGGAGGAAGUAUGAAUUUUCCUUGCCGAUUGUUGCUAUAUCGACAAAUAAUCAAGCUGAGUAUCAGGCUCUGAUCAAGGGAUUGGAGUUGUUAAGAGAAGUUCGUGCUGAUGCUGUUGAAAUUUUUGGGGAUUCUAUGUUGGUUAUAAAUCAAUUGGCCGGGAGCUAUGAAUGCCGAAGUGAAGUUCUCAUAACUCAUUUCGAGAAAAGCAUGCGACUGUUGAAAGAAUUCAAAGAUUUCCGAUUAGAGCAUAUUCCUCGAUUGCAUAAUGAAGAGGCCAAUUGGUUAGCUCAGCAUGUCUCGGGAUAUCAGCCUAUGAUUAAUGCAAUAUCGGCAAUCGGUGCCGAUGAUUGGAGGAAGGAAAUUAUUGAUUAUCUAAAGGAUCCAUCCAAGAAAGUUGAAAGACGAGUUCGAUUUCAAGCAACCAAAUAUGUGCUCCUCGAAGAUGAAUUGUAUUAUCGAACUAUUGAUGGAAUUCUUCUCCGAUGUUUGGGUGAUGAUGAAGCUAGGAGUUUGAUGGGAGAGAUCCAUGAAGGGGUAUGUGGAGCACAUCAGUCGGCUUUCAAGAUGAAAUGGAUGAUUAGAAGGAAUGGAUAUUUUUGGCCGACUAUACUUGAGGAUUGCUUUAACUAUUUCAAGGGAUGUCAAGGUUGUCAAAAGUUUGGUAACAUUCAAAGAGCACCCGCAUCGGCUAUGAAUCCUAUUAUCAAGCCUUGGCCGUUUCGGGGAUGGGCUAUCGAUCUGAUCGGCCAGAUUUAUCCACCAUCUAGUAAGGGGCAUAAGUUUAUUUUGGUUGCCACUGAUUAUUUCACUAAAUGGGUUGAAGCUAUUCCUUUGAAGAAGGUCACCUCGGCCAAUAUGAUUGAUUUUGUGAAGGAACACAUUAUUUACCGAUUUGGGAUUCCUCAGACAAUUACUACCGAUCAGAGCACUAUGUUCACAUCGGGGGAGUUUGAUGAAUUCACAAUCGGUAUGGGGAUUAAAGUGUUGAAUUCUUCUCCUUAUUAUGCUCAAGCCAAUGGGCAGGCCGAAGCAUCUAACAAAGGGAUUAUCAAGCUUAUUAAACGAAAGAUUGAAGAAAAUCCUAAGCGGUGGCAUACAUUGUUAAAUGAAGCACUGCGGUCUUAUCGGAUGGCUUGUCAUGGAUCAACCAAGGUGUCACCCUAUCAAUUGGUGUAUGGACAUGAUGCAGUGUUGCCUUGGGAGAUUAAGGCCGGAUCCAGGCGAUUAUCUUUUCAAGAUCGGUUAACCGCCGAUGAUUAUGCUACUUUGAUGACCGAUGAGUUGGAUGAUCUAGCAGGGCAUCGGUUAAAAGCUUUAAUGAGUAUAGAAGAAAAUAAGAAGAGAGUUGCUAGAUGGUAUGAUAAGAAAGUGAAGGCUAAGGAGUUUGUCGAUGGGGAUUUGGUAUGGAAAUUAAUUUUGCCAGUCGGGACUAAAAGUGCGAAGUUUGGAAAGUGGUCUCCUAAUUGGGAAGGUCCUUAUCGGAUAAGUCGAUCGGCUCCUGGUAAUGCCUAUAUUCUAGAAACUCUCGAAGGAGUUGAAUUUCCUAGAGAAUUAAAUGGCAAAUAUUUAAAGAAGUACUACCCCAGCAUAUGGGUCGAUGCAUAAAAGUUUAAAUGCCGAUAACACUCCUAUCGGCUGGAUUCAAAUGUUUGGGGGCUUAGUGUUUCAAAAGAUGCCGAUAACAGUCCUAUCGGCUAGACUAAAAGCUGAGGAAGCAGGAAAGCACAGAUAUGAUGCCGAUGAAAACUUUAUGUGUUAAGCAGCGCCUGGAUUGCCGAUAUAGCACGUAGCCGGAUUUGGUUGGCUGCUUCUGUCUCCUUAAUGUCAUCAUCGGCAGAACCCUCUAUCGGCUUCAGUUUCUUCUUCAGUUGAAGUGCCUUGCGACCCUGAACGUUUCGCUCGUGCUCAAGAAGCUUGAUGGUCUCUGGCAGUUGGCUCUCUUCCUGUUGAGCUUGGGAUAAGGCGUCCUCCACUUCCUUGAGUUCUGCCAACAAGGAUUCUCUUCUUGCCGAUAGAUCGGAUAUUUUCUGCUUCAGCGCGUCUCCUGAAGAUCUCAGGAUGCCGAUGUUCUUGUGCUUCUCAUCGGUCAAGAGCUUCUCUUUCCUCAUUUCGUCGGAGAGUUGAGUCUGAGCAGCUCUAUCGGCAAGACACCGAGAAGCUCUCUGGUACUGCAGCUGGCGACUCUCCAAAUGAGCGGCUUGGAAAAGGGUUUCUUCGACGUCGGCUGGGAUUUGGCCUCUGAGAGUUCUGAACAGGGUCUUGGUAGGGUCGGAGUCGUCAACCAACUGCGCUGUGUCCUGGUGAAGGAGAGCUGACAAUUCCUCCAGUCUGGUCCUGAUCUCUGCUGAUGUAAUGCCAACUGUCUGAGAAGAGCUUGCCUCUUCGCCUUCUUCUUCAGAGAGAUCGAUGGUGAAGGAGAACAGGCUGUCGGGAGAAUCUUGUUCCUGGGAGGGAGAGCAAAGUUAGUUCUACUCGGAGAAUCGGCAAAUAAUGCUGGUAAAGGUUGGGUGGCUUACUUGUUUUAAGGCUAUUUCCUGCCUUUGUCUGAAAGAUGCCGAUGGAGAUGAAGGAUGAUCGGCUAAGGUUGCCGAUGGGACGAUAUUGACUGAAAGAAGACAGGAAGGGUUAUGAGACUAAAUGAGAAUAAGUUUAUCGGCGGAAGUAUUGUUGAAAUAUGUUACCUGGAGGAGGAACAACAGUUGUCUGAAUCAGGGGAACCGCCGAUGAUAUAAUUGGACCUGCCGGGCCAGUUGUUUGUUCACCCACGUCAGCUGAUGUACCUUCUGUUUGAGGUUCUUCCUGUUGGGGUUCUUCCAUCUGUGGUGCUUCCUGCAUUGGUUGGGGAGAUGGUGCUUGCUGUGUCUGGACUCCUGGAGAAGAAGGAGAGGACUCCACCGGAAUUGGAGACACCGGAGGAGGAGGGGGACUUGCCACUUUCUGGCGCUUUGUUCCAGCCUUAGCACCUUUGGUGCCCUUUCUCUUUGGCUGGCUAGACUGGGGGGCAUCGGCACUUUGGCGCUUGGCUUUUGCCGAUGCACCGGUUUGCUGCAACAACGAAAAGGGGUUUAUAAGCGCAGAUGUAGCCGAUAUAAAGAUGGUCCGUGUAAAAGAAAAAGAUUUGACAAAUUGCCUUGAAAGCCUGCGCCAGAGUGGAAGCAGCUACCGUAGGUGAUGUCUGAGCUCUCUUGGUGGUGACUUUCCUGAGGCGCACACCCCGAUGCACGACGGAAGCCAGAGUGGGAGCGUUGUGGCCGAUUGAGGAGAUCGGGCCUGAUGGAAACAAGUCGAUCGGCUUGCCAUUCCUGCUAACCGAUGGGGGGAUGUUGUCAACCUGCAAAAAGAAUACAAGGGUAAGCUACCGAUGGAAAUAGUAUUGAAAAAUGAAACAUUGGUUUAAAAUACUUACAGUGUCAUCGGGGACUUCGUAUUCGGGGUCGAUCAAGCCGCGGUAUGAGAGGGCCGAUCUGCAGAAUAGAUGCUCUUUCCAUUCUGCCCACCAUAGCUUGUAUGCCUGAGUAAUAAAGGCAGCUGGAACCCAUUCUGACAGAUCUACAUCUGUAUCGGCAUUUGGUGGUAGUUGGGCUACUCGAAUCCAUUCAAGAAAGUUGGUGAUGGGUUCUCUGGGUUUUAUCACAUCGGCAUAAGGAAGUGCAAUCGGCAACUGGCCGAAAGCUAGCUGACGGGCUAAGGCCGAUGGAUUGUAAAAUUCAUAGGUUUGGGGAGAGGUUUUUGUGCAACCAAAGAAAUUCACUGGUAUGGCUCUGGGAGUCACAAUUGCCAUCAUCACCUCAUUAUCCUUGUCAAGAGCUUCAUCAAAUGGAUUGAAGGUUAGAGGGAGCAUGCUGUCUGGAUCAUCAUAAGCCAACCAUGGUCGUUCAUCUCUGGCCAAUCCCUCAUACAGAGUCUGGAAGAAUCGGCCGAUUUGAUCCAGAUUACUCCCUGAACCAGGUAGAACUAUGGCAGCUUCGCCAAAGUUCAGGGGGGCACGUGUUGCCGAUUCCUCUUCGCCCAACACAUGAUUUUCGGCUAUAUCUCUUGGGAAAUGCUGUGUGAACAAGUUGAAGUCAAGGCGCUUAUGCAAGUGCAGAUUGAGCCACAUGUUAAUAAACCACCAGGGACCUCCCAAGUUGCCGAUAGACUGACCAAGCAGGAGUUUCUGGGCUACCUGAUGGAGAAGAUGGUAAGCAGCGCCAAGCAAGUAUCGGCCGAGAGGAAAUUGGCCACCGUUAGCCAGUCUCUCUGCUGCCGAUAGAUAGACAGAAGUCGGUCCUGCCGAUCGACCACAGAAUACGAACUUGUCCAGCCACAUGUUCAGAAAGGUGGUUUGUUCCUUUAUGGUGACAUGCCCCUUCCCACGGUACUUCUGAAUGUACCCCGACCAACCGCCGAUAGCGCGAGUCUCCACUUUGGCACUAGGAGCGGUAUCAAAGAAGUGGGUGCUAUCGGCAGAAGAGACGUCUAGACCAGUGAGCAUAGCUACAUCGGCAAGAGUGGGAGAAACAGGGCCGUGGCCAAAGACGAAAGCAUUAAGGGUAUCUAACCAAAAAUAAGACGCAGCUAUCAACAGCGACUCGUUCUUGUGCAUAUCGGCAAUAGAUAGCCUGAUGCAUUGGGCUAGCUUCCUUUCACCCCACUGGACUUCAUUCGAAUUGCUGACUCUCAAGAACCAGUCUUUCCACCCUACAGUAGGGCUGGGCCAAGAGCGAAAGGUGUCUUUCCACAGAUCUAAAGAAAAAGUUUCGGCUCUAAAGGGAAUCCUGUUGGUUUCUGCAUUGAUAAGGUCAGUUGGAUCUGGAUCCCCUAGAGGGCCGAGACAUUGGAGGUGUGGUUGAUCGGUGGGGAUGACAAUUUUGUUGGACAACUCCUAGUUGGGGAAUAAAAAAAUACAAAGAAAAAGGAAAAGGAAGAUAUUCAGUAAGAUGAAUCGCGGAUGAACAGGAAUACGAGAAAAAAAUACAGGAGAUGAGAUGGAGAUUUGACCUCAGGGACGACGAAGCCAAUGGCCAUCUUGUCGUGAAGAGAACAUUUGAGGGCACCGGAGUUGAUAAAGAGGAGUGCUUGUCGGAGGUCUUGAAGGUUGUGAAUGGCGCCGCCGCUGGAAAAGUAAAAGUAGGGAUGGUGAAAUUAUGUGAUGGAGAAGGAGUACCCGAGAAGGAACUAUUUAUAGGAUAAAACGGGCAAGGGCAAAUCUGACUUAUCUCUUUGCCGCAUCCGAGAAACCCGAGGAUGCUCAGGUAGAUAUGGUAACUGUUCGCACGGUAAUCAAGGGAUUGUGCAGGUGAUUUGACGGGGAGCGGUCAUUACCUGGAGAUAUUUUACUGUGCGGGAUCUUCUGGUCGGUCCAUCGGCAGCAUACUGUAACGGUCAUAUUGCCGAUGGGCGGAUGAAGUAAAGGUAGCCAUUUGUACGAACGUCCUGAUUAGUCCAUCGGUAGAUCUUCGUAACGGUAAUAUUGCCGAUGUGCGGAUGAGAAGGAAGUGCCCGUUCAGGAAGCUGAGGAUUUCGAGGAAUCUGCAGGAGAAUAGGAUCGGAGUUGUUUGGAUUGAGGUUGUCGGUUACCAGAUUAGGAGCAUUAAUUGCGGGAAAAGGCAUCAUUACUGCAGAAAAUUUCGGAGCAUUAAUAGUUUCAUAUUCCGAAAUUGGGGGGCAUGUGUUGACACCGUUUUUGGGCACGUGUCCAGGAUGACAGGAUAAGAUGACAGUAUGUGGUUUACAGGAUGAGUUGCCGAUGAGGAUGGUUGCCGAUAAAGGAGAGGUUGGACGUGACUAAGUUUACAGGUGACGAUGUGUCUGUGCCGAUGACUAUGAUGAGGAGGUCUGCCAAUGACCAUGGCAAAAGAGUCUGCCGAUGAUACAGAGGGGGAGUCUGGAAGCUGCUGAUCGGGUUGUGGAAGAGUUUCAAUUUGUCACGAGGGAUAGCUGAGUUAUUUCCUUAUUUG
rnacentral:lncRNA from 1 species